GUCCACAACGUGAUUUAACGUCAAAAAUAUCUGGACACAAUAAGGCCAUAGAAAAAGAUAAAAGAUAAAGCACUCAAAAAAUAUCAACCUAUUUAAAAAAAUACUAUAUGAAAAACUAAAAAUACCAUAUUUGUUGGAUUUAGAGUUGGAGUAAGAGAGAUCUAAAUUUGGAUUUAGUACAAUGAAUUUAAAUCCCCUAAUAGAAAUUUAAUUUUGAAUAGUGUGGGAAAGUUUUUCCAAAUGGAGUUGAAGUUGCACCAUUAAAUAGGUGAGAUUAAUACAAGAAUUUAGAAAGUUGAAUCACCUUAUUUGGACAAAUAUUUUAUCUUAAGGAAUUUUUGGAAAUCCUGUGUUAAAAUAAAAAAAUGCCCAACUGGUGGUUGGGCCAAGACAGACCCUAGCUGGGCCAGCCCAAAGCCAAACCACCUGAGGCGAGCAGGGCAUGCACGUCGGCUAGGUUUCAAACCUGACAAACGGGGCCCAGCUCUAGUGAGAGAGAGGAAGGGACAAAAGGGUGUUGGUGAUAGGUGGGCCCCGCUAGUCAUCCCUAAGCUCUUAGAAGGAAGGUGCUACAACCGAUGGUGAGCGGAGCAAAGGGCGGGGAUGGACUCAGGGUAGAAGCAUUGUUUAGGUGGUGGUGGUGGAAGUCAUCGGCGGGCCUUGGUUGGCCGUCGGCGACCGAGCAAGAUGGAUACACUUCAGGAGGUGGUCACCCCCGUUGUCUCCGACUGCAAAAUGCACGGGAAAGAGAAGGUAUCGCAUCAGUGUGCAGAGAUGGGACCAACGAAAGAGAAAUGGGGGCCGAAGAUGCUCCCUAUCAUGAGUUCGACGGUGUCCUGACACGGCAUCAUCGAGCUUGAUCCCGAGCACAGGAGGUUUCAGGCGAGGCUAGGGACACAGUCGCUCGAUUGAGGUUGAGAGAGGGAGUCCAAAGGGGAGAAAGAGGGCGAGGUGGGCUUUUAUAGCCGGGCACUGGAGGUUGCCAUGGGCGGGCUCACAGCCAUUGUCUGGCGCCUCCACAGGGCUCAGGAGCCCUCCUGCUGGUGCCUCAGGUGCUUGUGAGCGUAGUCCUGGUCUAUAGGAAGGAAGAGGGAAGACAUGGUUUUCUCUGGUGCGGGCCCGGAGCUUGGGCAGCGAGUGGCUGAACUGGGCGGUCACGGGUACGAGUUGCAUGAGUUGUCGGAGAGAGAGAGAGGGGGGAGGGGCCGGCCUUCUCGCAUCUAGUAGACAUCGAAGAGCUCGAGGGACAGGUUCCCGCCUCCCCUGGCUGUCGGAUGGCUCGGGAUGGGCACUGCUACAGUGCGGGAGCACACUAUGGCGCACUCUAGAGCGUCAUUUGGCAUUCAAGGCGUGUCCCACAUUCUUUGGGCGUGUCCUUGAUUGCGAUCUCUGGCGAUAGCUAGACGAAUGCUGAUGACAACAAACCUUCUCCUGCAACGGCACCAGAAGAAUGCUGCUAGCACUCCCCGGUAAUGAAACUAGAAGAAUGUUGUUGACGGCCCACUAGCGCGUGGGUUCGCAGCAGUUUUCGAGGGUAGAGUAUUCGACCCAAAUUUGUUGAUCGCCUAUAGGAGGUGAGAGAAUACUCUCGAGUAUUAGCAGCUGAAUUUGUCAGAUUCAACCACACCUGAAAGAUUAGUAUCUGCAAGCAAAGUAGUAACAGCAAAGUAGUAUGAUAACAACGGUGUCACAAACGAUCUGUUGACGACAGACUAUUCCUAACGAUUGUAUCAAUGGCACCUCUGUUGUCGCAUUGAUGGAAGUUUUAAUUCCCGUCAACGGUCAGCGAAGAAGUAUAGUAGCACGUAGCAGCAGUGUAACGAGUAACAGCAGUGGCAAGGAACAGCAGUAGUGACAGCAGUAGCAAGCGACAGUAAUAGCAAACGUAGUAGCAGCAGCAGAGCAAAACAACUAACAGCAGUAGCAACAGUAGGACAAACUCGUAGGCAAUGGGUCGGUGAUUUGUUUGGAUGAUAUUCAUCAUGCAACACCUAUAACAUGGAGAGAUAUGUGGCUAGCUCCCGUUCGUCAAUGUGAUGUAGGCAUGCAUUCCGUGUGUCGUCGGACAUGCUUAGGGAAAAGAACUUGCAUGACAUCUAUUGUCCAUCCCUCCCGUGGCAGCGGGCCAAAAGGAAACUACGGGAUAUUAAGGUUCUCCUUUUAAUAAAGAACCGAACCAACGCAUUAGCACUUGGUGAACACAUGAACUCCUCAAACUAUGGUCAUCACCGGGAGUGGUUCCGGUUAUUGUCACUCCGGGGUUGCCGGAUCAUAACACAUAGGAGGUAACUACAACUUGCAAGAUCGGAUCUAAAACACACAUAUGUUGGUGACAACAUAAUAAUUUCAGAUAUGAAAUCAUGGCACUCGGGCCCAAGUGACAAGCAUUAAGCAUGGCAAAGUAGUAGCAACAUCAAUCUCAGAACAUAGUGGAUACUAGGGAUCAAUCCCCAUCAAAACUAACUCAAUUACAUGAUAGAUCUCAUCCUACUCAUCACCGCCCAGCAAGCCUACAAAUAGAUUACUCACGAACGACGAAGAGCUUCAUGGAAUUGGAGAGGGAAGAAGGUUCAUGAUGACGAUGGCGACGAUUUCCCCUCUCCGGAGCCCAAGACGGACUCGAGAUCUGCCCUCCAGAUGAAGAACAGGUGGUGGCGGCACCUCCGUAUCGAAAACGCGACGAAAACUUUUCUUUUUAUUUUUUCUGGGACGAAAGGGAUCUUAUAGAGCUGGAAUUGGGGCAGCAGAGCCGUGUGGGCCCCACAAGCCUGCCCAUCGCCACCAGGGGGUGGUGGCGGAGCAAGGGCUUGUGGCCCACUGGCCCACCCCUUGAGGUGGAAGUUGGCGCAGAUAUUUUUGAUAUUUUCCAAAACUGCUCCCCGUAAAUUUUCAGGACGUUUGGAGAACUUUUAUUUCUCCACAAAAAUAACACCAAGGCAAUUCUGCUGAAAACAGCGUCAGUCCAGGUUUGUUCCAUUCAAAUCAUGCAAAUUAGAGUCCAAAACAAGGGCAAAAGAGUUUGGAAAAGUAGAUACGAUGGAGACGUAUCAACUCCCCCAAGCUUAAAACCUUGCUUAUCCUCAAGCAACUCAGUUGACAAACUGAGAGAGAAAGAAAAAAACUUUGACAAACUCUGUUUGAUCUUGUUGUUGCAACUAUGUCUAACUCAUAAGCAGAAUUUCAGCAAGAUCACAAGUUAACCACAUAAGCAAAUGACACAAAGGUCUCACGGUCAACUAAUAUCAAUGGCAUAAUCAGCUAACGAGCAAAUAAUAAUGAGUUUCAAAUACCAACACUUCAAUCAAAACAAGCAUGAAGCAAUAUGAAUAGGUGGUAUCUCGCUAGCUCUUUCUGAGACCGCAAAACAUAAAUGCAGAGCACUUUCAAAGAUCAAGGGCUGACUAAACAUUGUAAUUCAUAGCAACGAAGAUCCGGUCAUAGUCAUACUCAAUAUCAAUCAAAAGCAAAGCAUAAAAAUGACAUAGGUGCUCUCUAAUUGGUGCUUAUAUAAGAGGAGGAUGACUCAAGAGGAAAAGAAAAUAAAUAGACAGGCCCUUCCCAGAGGGAAGCAUUGAUUUGUAGAGGUGCCAGAGCUCAAACUUUGAAAAUAGAGAUAAUAAUUUUGGGUGGCAUGCUUUCAUUGUCAAAGAAAUGACCAAGAGUUCUCAACAUCUUCCAUGCUACUCAUGCUAUAGGCGGUUCCCAAACAGAAAAGUAAAGUUUUAACUCACCCACCACCAAUCAAUCACACUCCACGGCUAGCCGAAUCCUCGGGUACCGUCCAUACUAACAUCAAUCCGAGGGGAGUCUUGUUUUACAGUUAUGUUUUCGAUUUAAGCGUGGAACUAGGCAUUCCAAAUACCGGCCCCUUUCUCGUGAAUGACUGUGAAUAAACACAUGUCGAGGAUAACACUCCUAGCAUGGAAGAUACCAAUAGGCCUCUGUCACCACAUGAGCAGUUCGGGCAUGCAAAACAGAUUAUUUCUUAAAGGUUUAGAGAAUGGCACAUGCAAAUUUACUUGGAACGGCAGGUAGAUACCGCAAAUAGGUAGGUAUGGUGGACUCUCAUGGAAAAACUUUUGGGUUUAUGGAAGUGGAUGCACAAGCAGUAUUCCGCUUAGUACAAGUGAAGGCUAGCAAAAGACUGGGAAGCGACCAACUAGAGAGCGACGAGAGUCAUCAAGAUGCAAUGAGUUUGACUAACAUUGAAUGCAAGCAUGGACAUGAUAUAAAUCACCAUGAACACGAACAUCAUAGAGGCUAUGUUGAUUUUGUUUCAACUACAUGCAUAAACAUGCGCCAAGUCAAGCCACUUGAAACAUUCAAAUGAGAAUACCAUCCUAUCAUACUACAUCAUAGUCAUCUCAAAAUCUAUGUUGGCAUUCAAGACAAACCAUUAUAAGCUCUCAGCUAAAUAAGCAUGGCAUCAGAAACUAUGAUCUCUAAGUUGUCAUUGCAAACAUGGUUCUCUCACAACAAAGCUAAAUCUGGGUCGACAAGCUAGUCAUAUUUACAAAAACAAAAUAGAUAGAGUUCAUACCAGCUUUUCAGUCUCACUCACUUCAUCAUAUAUCAUCAUUGUUGCCUUUCAUUUGCACGAUUGAACAAUGAAAAUGAUAAUAAGCGCAUUGGACUAAGCUGAAUCUGUAGGCAAACACAAAGGAGGAGACAAAAUAAUAUGGCUCUUUGAAAGCUAAACAGGUAAGCAUGUAAGAACCAAUAAACAUUGUAACCAAUAUCUUCUACCUUGACACAAAGAAAAAGAAAACUAUUUACACGGGAAAGCUCCCAACAAGCAAAAGAAGAAAGAAAGAUCUUUUGGGUUUUCUCAAAAGGAUACAAAACAAGAAAACAAGAAAACGAAAAGAAACUAGCAUGGAUAAUACAGUGUCAAAGUGUAAACAACGGCUAACAGAGUGAAAGCAUAAGCAUGAAUGUAAAGUCGGUGAGAACACGUACUCCCCCAAGCUUAGGCUUUUGACCUAGCUUGGUCUACUCCCAUGGAUGAUCCUGCGAAACCCAAAGUCAUAAUGUGUGUUAUACGGGAGUGCUGCAGCCACUGCUUGAAUAGUUGCCUCACGAAGUCGAGUAGCAGUCGCCUCCCUCUCAUAUUCCUUUGCCUCACCUAUGGUUAUGUAGUAUCUUCGUUUAACCUGAAAGUCAAAGAAAGCAGGAGUAGGAAGGGUAAUAUGGAAAACACGCUGCUGGUUAAAUAUCAAGUGGUAUAGGAGGGAUCCAUGAUCUCUCUCAAGGAACUGGUAGUGUGUUAGAGCGACACGAUCAAGGUAGGUUGUACGGAGAGGAGGGUCUUCUCGACGGAUGGAUACUCCAAGAAAAUUUGCUAAGAGUGUAGCAUAAACUCCACCAAAGAAAUCCCCCUCACUGGCAUUUUUAUUCAGCCUCCUUGCUAUUAUAGCUCCCAUAUUGAAUCUCCUGUCACCUAUUACUACGCUCUUAAGGAUACUAAAGUCGGAAGCGCAUAGGUGACAAUGUGCACCCUUGCCGUUAAUGCACCUACCUAUGAAGAGGGCAAGGUAGUGCAAGGCAGGGAAAUGGAUCCUUCCUAUGGUGGCUUGCGUGAUAUCUCUGGUUUCUCCAACAGUUAUACUAGAGACAAAGUCUCUGACCGAAGACUUAGGAGGAUCAUUAACACUACCCCAAUCGGGUAUCUUGCAAAUCCUAUUGAAAUCCACCAGAUCCACGGUAUAUGAUUUAUCGUAUAGAUCAAACAGUAUGGAUGAUUCACGGCCAGCUAAAAAAUUAAAUCUACGCACGAAAGAGGCAGUGAGCAUAGCAUACUAUUCACAUUUAUCUGAGAGGAAUUCUUCUAACCCGGCAUUGCGGACAAGUGCAUCAAACUCAUCCUUGAAACCUGCUUCGAUCAUGAACUCAUCGGAAGGCCAUUCACAUGGUUGCAUCGGUGCGUCCCUUAAUUGAAAAGGUCCGAGCUCCCGAAAAGAGAGAAGAGGACCCUUCUUACUUGAGGAACCACCAUGAAACUUCCUCCUGAACAUAAUUUCCUUUUGCUGAAAUUUUUGAAGUUCAAGAGAAAAAUGAAUAAAGACCCACCACACCUUGUAGCAACUACUCCUACUAGUGCCUAGAGACCGUAUCACGCGCUAAAACUACUUGGAACCGGCUAAAAUCAACCUUUCUAGCUCAAGAACAGGGUCACCAAGGUAGCAAGAAUACGCGAAGGAUAAAGCACUAGAGCAAAAACUAAUUGGACCAAUGGAGGAGUCACUUACCAAGGAGUAAUUUCCCCCAAACGGUUCGGAGAAUGGUGCUUUGAGCAAGGAGAUCGAAAAUCACAGCCAAAUGAGCAAGAACAUGGGUUUGAGCUGCGAAACAAUUUUUUCUGGAGGUGGAAGAAGAGACUGAGAGCUGGAGUGAGUGGAGGGGUGCUUGUGGGCCCCACAAGCUUGCACCCCGCCACUAGGGGGGUAGGUGGCGGUGGCAGGGCUUGUGGCCCACUGUUCAAGCCCCCAGGCCAGCUCUCAGGCCCAAAAAUUUUAAAAAAUUCCAGAAAAAAUCAUACUAAAUUUUCAGGACCAUCGGAGAACUUUUAUUUUCGAUGUAUUUUUCUCCACGACACUAAAACAGAAAACAGGAAAAACUAAACUAAUUCUAUCAUUUUUCUUCUAAGAAAAAGAAAAUGAAAGCUUUAAAACAGAGGUGUGUGACUCUUUGAUUCAUCCGUUUCAUGGUCAUCGAAAGAAAUCCGUCAAUGGGGUUGAUCAAGUCCUUAUGACAAAACCUUCUCGAAUCACAAGAGAGAACGGAGAAUUUUCGAAUAGCCACUAAGUCACCUCAAUGGGGAUAUGUAUCUCUCCAACAAGCAAAUCAUACUUCAUCUUGACACGAGGAAUAGGCCAUUCAAAGCUCCCAAUGAGAAUCGAUGAAGUCUUUUCGAUAGCAUUGAUGCAAUGUACUGGAUAUCAUUUCUUCGGAAAGUGCACGAUGUGCUCAUUACCAUUGACGUGGAAAGUGGCAUUGCCUUUGUUGCAAUCUAGAAUAGCCCCUGCAGUGUUUAAAAAGGGUCUUCCGAGGAUGAUAGCAUGGCAUCGUCCUCGGGAAUAUCCAAGAUAACAAAGUCUGUUAAGAUAAUGGUGUUAGCAACCACAAGAGGCACAUCCUCGCAAAUGCCGAUAGGGAAAUCAGAUGAUUUGUCGGCCAUUUGCAGAGAAAUUUCAGUGGGUGUCAACUUAUCCAACUCAAGUCUUCGAUAAAGAGAGAGUGGCAUAACACUAACACCGGCUCCAAGGUCACAUAAGGCAGUUCUUACGUAGUUUCCUUUAAUGGAGCAAUGUAUAGUGGGCACUCCGGGAUCACCAAGUUUCUUAGGAGUUCCACCUUUGAAAGUGUAAUUGGCAAGCAUGGUGGAGACCUCAAGAUCUGGUAUCUUCCAUUUAUUAGUCACGAUAUCUUUCAUGUACUUGGCAUACAGAGACAUCUUGAGCAUAUCAGUUAACCGCAUCUGUAGAAAGACGGGUCUUAUCAUCUCAACGAAGCGCUCAAAAUCCUCAUCAUCCUUUUUCUUGGAUGGCUUAGGAGGGAAGGGCGUAGGUCUCUGAACCCAUGGCUCCCUCUCUUUACCAUGCUUCCUAGCAGUGAAGUCAUUCUUGUCGUAUCUCUUAGGUUGUGGAUUAUCAGGAUUAACCGUAGGUUCAAUCUCCACAUCCUCAUCAUUGCUAGGUUGAGCAUUAUUAUGAACAUCACUGUCCAUAUUGUCACCAGGUUCAUGUUCAUCACCACAUUGUGUUUCUGCAUGAGACGCAGAAAUAUCAUUAGGUUCUUCAGGUGUGACAGUAUUUUGUGAACUGGCGUGCAGGUUUCUAUCAUUCUACUUCUUCUCCUUAGGAUGUCUAGGUGUAUCAGCAUUGAUUCCUUGAGAAUCUUGAUCAAUUCUCUUAGGAUGACCUUCAGGAUACAAAGGUUCCUGAGACAUUUUGCCUCCUCUAGUAAUGACUCUGACAGAGUUGUCAUUUAAUUCAUUGAGCAAGUCAUUCUGAGCUUUAAGUACUUGUUCCACCUAAGUAGUAAUCAUAGAGGCAUGUUUACUCAGAAGCUUCAGAGCAUUGACAUUUCUGUCUACACAAGCACUUAAAUGGCUAAGCAUACGAGUACUUUGUUCAAAAUGUCUGCUAACAUAAUCAUUGAAACUCUGUUGUUUGGCAACAAAGUCAUCAAAUUCAUCAAAGCAUAGGCUAGCAGGUUUAUCAAAAGGAAUAUCACUCUCAUCAAACCUACGCAGAGAAUUCACUUCCACUGCCUGUAUCGCGUUAUCGAGACCAUGGAUCUCUCGAUAGGUGGUAUAUUUUUGACAUCUUCAGAUCUAAUGCCUUUCUCUUGCAUAGAUUUCUUGGCUUCUUGCAUAUCUUCGGGACUGGGGAAUAGAAUACCUCUUUUCUUAGGAGUUGGCUUAGGAGGUGGUUCGGGAAUAGUCCAAGCAUUAUCGUUGAUCAAGAGGUUAUUUAGUAGGGUCUCAGCUUGUUCUACAGUUCGUUCCCUAAAAACACAACUGGCACAACUAUCUAGGUGGUCUCUAGAGGCAUCGGUAAGUCCGUUAUAGAGGAUAUCAAGUAUCUCAUUCUUCUUAAGAGGGUGAUCAGGCAAAACAUUCUGUAGCUGGACGAGCCUCCCCCAAGCUUGUGGAAGACUCUCUUCUUGGAGUUGAGCAAAGUUGUAUAUUUCCUGCAAGGCAGCUUGCUUCUUAUGGGCAGGGAAAUAUUUCUCACAUAAGUAAUAGACCAUCUCCUGGGGACUACGCACACAUCCAGGAGCAAGAGAGGUGAACCAGACUUUAGUGUCAUCCUUUAGAGAGAAAGGAAACAGCUUAAGGAUAUAGUAGUGGGGGAUCUUCUCCUCAUUAGUGAAGAGGUUGGCUAUUUCGGAUAGUUUGGCAAGAUGGGCUAUGACCGUCUCAGACUCAUAACCGUGAAAAGGAUCAGAUUCGACUAGAGAGAUUAUUUCAGGUCGACAGAGAAUUCAUAAUCCUUAUCGGUGACAAAGAUAGGCGAAGUGGCAAACUUCGGGUCAUUUUUCAUCCUAGCUUCCCGAGAUUUUUCCUUCCACUUGAGAAGUAAUUUCUUAGCGUCAUGGGCAUCCUUACACGCAAGAAAAUCCUCAGCUAUCUCUCCCUCCAUAAUGUAACCCUCAGGUAUAUCAGGCAAUUCAUAUCUAGGAAAGCUAGAUCUAACAGGAGCAAAAGCAGGUUCUAUCUCAAUAGUAUCGGUAGUUUCAGAAGAAUCACGAGCAUUGGCAGUAACUCUAGCAAUAUGAGCAUCAAGGAACACUCCUAGUGGAACAUCAGGCAAAGGAGUAUCUCUAGCAGUAUCAAGCAUAGCAUCAUCAGGCAAAAUAGCAUCUCUAGCAUCAUCAGGCAAAGCAGUAUCAAGCAUAGCAUCAUCAGGCAAAAUAGUAUCAAGCAUAGCAUCUCUAGUAGUAUCAGGCAUGGUAUCAAGCAUAGUAUCAUCAGGCAUAGUAUCAAGCAUAGCAUCUCUAGCAGUAUCAGGCAUAGCAUCAAGCAUAGUAUCAUCAGGCAUAGUAUCAAGCAUAGCAUCUCUAGCAGUAUCAAGCAUAGUAUCAUCAGGCAUAGUAUCAAGCAUAGCAUCUCUAGUAGUAGUAUCACAAGCAUCAUCAAGCACACGCGACAUAUCAAGAUUUCUAGCAGGAGGUGAUGUCGCAAACUUACUCAUAACUGAAGGUGAAUCAAGUGUAAAGCUAGAUGGCAAUUCCUUACCUCCCCUCGCAGUUGAGGGCAAGGGUUUGGUCUUCGGAUCCUUUAGAUUCUUCAUAGUGAUCAGCAGAUAUAAAUCCCAAGUAACUCAGAGAAUAUAGCAAUACCUCCCCGGCAACGGCGCCACAAAAGUGCUGAUUGCAAUCUCUGGCGAUAGCUAGACGAAUGUUGAUGACAACAAACCUUCUCCUGCAACGGCACCAGAAGAAUGCUGCUAGCACUCCCCGGUAAUGAAACUAGAAGAAUGUUGUUGACGGCCCACCAGCGCGUGGGUUUGCAGCAGUUUUCGAGGGUAGAGUAUUCGACCAAAAUUUGUUGAUAGCCUAUAGGAUGUGAGAGAAUACUCUCGAGUAUUAGCAGCUGAAUUUGUCAGAUUCAACCACACCUGAAAGAUUAGUAUCUGCAAGCAAAGUAGUAACAGCAAAGUAGUAUGAUAACAAUGGUGUCAGAAACGAUCUGUUGACGGCACACAAUUCCUAACGAUUGUAUCAAUGGCGCCUCCGUUGCCGCGUUCACGGAAGUUGUCAAUUCCCGUCAACGGUCUUAAGAAAUUUAAUUUUGAAUAGUGUGGGAAAGUUUUUCCAAAUGGAGUUGAAGUUGCAUCAUUAAAUAGGUGGGAUUAAUACAAGAAUUUAGAAAGUUGAAUCGCCUUAUUUGGACAAAUAUUUUAUCUUAAGGAACUUUUGGAAAUCCUGUGAUAAAAGAAAAAAAAUGGCCAACAGGUGGUUGGGCCAAGACAGACCCUAGCUGGGCCAGCCCAAAGCCAAACCACCUCAGGCGAGCAGGGCAUGCGCGCCGGCUAGGUUUCAAACCUGACAGAUGGGGCCCAACUCUAGUGAGAGAGAGGAAGGGACAGAAGGGUGUUGGUGAUAGGUGGGCCUUGCUUGUCAUCCCUAAGCUCUCAGCAGGGAGGCUGAUGAGCUUACCAAAGGUGCUACAACCGAUGAUGAGCGGAGCAAAGGGCGGGCAUGGACUCAGGGUAGAAGCAUUGUUUAGGUGGUGGUGGUGGAAGUCGUCGGAGGGCCUUGAUUGGCCGUCGGCGAGCGAGCAAGAUAGAUACACUUCAGGAGGUGGUCACCCCGAUUGUCUCCGACUGCAAAAUGCACGGGAAAGAGAAGGUAUCGCAUCAGUGUGGAGAGAUGGGACCAACGGAAAAGAAAUGGGGGCCGAAGAUGCUCCCUAUCAUGAGUUCGACGGUGGCCUGACGCGGCACCAUCGAGCUUGAUCCCGAGCACAGGAGGUUUCAGGCAAGGCUAGGGACACAGUCGCUCGAUUGAGGUUGAAAUAGGGAGUCCAAAGGGGAGAAAGAGGGCGGGGUGGGAUUUUAUAGCCGGGCAGUGGAGGUUGCCAUGGGCGGGCUCACAGUCGUUGUCUGGCGCCUCCACGGGGCUCAGGAGCCCUCCUGCUGGUGCCUCAGGUGCUUGUGAGCGUAGUCCUGGUCUAUAGGAAGGAAGAGGGAAGGCAUGAGUUUAUCUGGUGCGGGCCCGGAGUUUGGGCAGCGAGUGGCUGAGCUGGGCGGUCAUGGCCACAAGUUGCAUGAGUUGUAGGAGAGAGAGAGGGGGGAGAGGGUCGGCCUUCUCGCAUCUUGUGGACAUCGAGGAGCUCGAGGGACAGGUUCCCGCCUCCCCUGGCUGUUAGAUGGCUCGGGAUGGGCACUGCUACAGUGCGGGAGCACACUAUGGCGCACUCCAGAGCGUCGUUUGGCAUUCAAGGCGUGUCCCACAUUCUUUGGGCGUGUCCUUGAUUGCAAUCUCUCGCAAUAGCUAGACGAAUGCUGAUGACAACAAACCUUCUCCUGCAACGGCACCAGAAGAAUGUUGCUAGCACUCCCCGGUAAUGAAACUAGAAGAAUGUUGUUGACGGCCCACCAACGCGUGGGUUCGCAGCGGUUUUCGAGACUAGAGUAUUCGACCCAAAUUUGUUGAUCGCCUAUAGGAGGUGAGAGCAUACUCUCGAGUAUUAGCAGCUGAAUUUGUCAGAUUCAACCACACCUGAAAGAUUAGUAUCUGCAAGCAAAGUAGUAACAGCAAAGUAGUAUGAUAACAACGGUGUCAGAAACGAUCUAUUGACGACACACUAUUCCUAACGAUUGUAUCAAUGGCGCAUCUGUUGCCGCGUUGACGGAAGUUGUCAAUUCCCGUCAACGGUCAGCGAAAAAGUAUAGUAGCAGGUAACAGUAGUGUAACAAGUAACAACAGUGGCAAGGAACAGCAGUAGUGACAGCAGUAGCAAGUAGCAACUGUAGCAAGCGACAGUGAUAGCAACACUAGUAGCAGCAGCAGAGCAAAACAAGUAACAGCAGUAGCAACAGUAGUAUCAGCAGCAGCAGAGCAAGACAAGUAACAGCAGUAGGACAAACUCGUAGGCAAUGGGUUGGUGAUUUUUUUGGAUGAUAUUCAUCAUGCAACAUCUAUAACACGGAGAGAUAUGUGGCUAGCCCCCGUUCGUCAAUGUGAUGUAGGCAUGCAUUUCGUGUGUCGUCAUACGUGCUUAGGGAAAAGAACUUGCAUGACAUCUAUUGUCCAUCCCUCCCGUGGCAGCAGGGUCCAAAAGGAAACUAAGGGAUAUUAAGGUUCUCCUUUUAAUAAAGAACCGGACCAACGCAUUAGCACUUAGUGAACACAUGAACUCCUCAAACUAUGGUCAUCACUAGGAGUGGUUCCGGUUAUUGUCACUCCGGGGUCGCUCGAUCAUAACACAUAGUAGGUAACUACAAGUUGCAAGAUCGGAUCUAAAACACACAUAUAUUGGUGACAACAUAAUAAUUUCAGAUCUAAAAUCAUGGCACUCGGGCCGUAGUGACAAGCAUUAAGCAUGGCAAAGUAGUAGCAACAUCAAUCUCAGAACAAAGUGGAUACUAGGGAUCAAUCCCCAUCAAAACUAACUCGAUUACAUGAUAGAUCUCAUCCUACUCAUCACCGCCCAGCGAGCCUACGAAUAGAUUACUGAUGAACGACGAAGAGCUUCAUGGAAUUGGAGAGGGAAGAAGGUUGAUGAUGACGAUGGCGACGAUUUCCCCUCUCCGGAGCCCAAGACGAACUCCAAAUCUGCCCUCAACAUGAAGAACAGGUGGUGGUGGCGUCUCCGUAUCGAAAACGCGAUGAAAACUUGUCUUUUUAUUUUUUCUGGGACGAAAGGGAUCUUAUAGAGCAGGAAUUGGGGGCGGCAGAGCCGUGUGGGCCCCACAAGCCUGCCCACCGCCACCAGGGGGGGUGGUGGCGGAGCAAGGGCUUGUGGCCCACUGGCCCACCCCCUGAGGUGGAACUUGGCGCAGAUAUUUUUGAUAUUUUCCAAAACUGCUCCCCGUAAAUUUUCAGGACGUUUGGAGAACUUUGAUUUCUGCACAAAAAUAACACCAAGGCAAUUCUGCUAAAACAGCGUCAGUCCAGGUUAGUUCCAUUCAAAUCAUGCAAAUUAGAGUCCAAAACAAGGGCAAAAGAGUUUGGAAAAGUAGAUACGAUGGAGACGUAUCAGUCCUCCCUUGUCCACUAGCUCCUUGUGGCUCUACAGAUGUUCUAGGAUGCUUAAGAGGUAACGAUAUAUUAGAGGUGGGAGGGAAUAGAGGUAGAAAAGGUGUUGUCUUGGCUGAGGAGAGGGGUUAAGGGGGGUGUUUAGCCCUCCAAAAAUUUAUCAAAGGCGAGGGGUGAGCUACUAGGAGUAGUGGGUAACUAGAUUGGGCUAUGGUAAAAGUUGGGGCCUUGAAGAAUAGAGAAAGUGGUGAAAAUGGUAACUUCUAGUUGAACCAGUAGGUGUGUGAUCAAGGUUUGGGCUAGAUGAGUUGUUCUCCUUGCGAUGAGAAUAAAAAGGAGUAAAUAUUAGGUUCAUAUGAUGUUGCUCACAAAUUUUGAGCCCAUUUGAAGAAAAUGUCCAAUGCAAUUAUUCCAAACCCUAGAAAUCGACAGAAAUAAAUUUGGUGAGAUUUGAGCAAGUGUCUGUGUUCUCCUUGAUGAACCACUUGGCGUAGAUGCAUUGUUAUAGGAUUUGAACGUUUUCGCAAAGUUUGAGCUAAAUUGGUGACACUUGGCAAUGUAAAGUUGAUCAAAGCGGAUCUGUAUAGAGAGAGUUUUGGGGCACUUUUGUGCACCAAAACAAUUUGGAUUGAGAAACAUAGCAAGAUCAUCAUCUGAGGCAUUUUUCACUUUCUAUGAUUUACAUGGAUUUGUUUGACAAUUUUUCGUAUAGAUAUAUUUAUAAUACUUAGAGUAUCCAUAAAGGAUUUUGUACAAUAUUUUUAACACCGCCAUGCUUUGAAACUUAUAUGUAUGGAAAAUAUAUGUAUAGUGAGUUUCCCUAUAUUUUCUAAAAUAAUUUUGAAACAUAAAAAUAAAAGACCAUUUCGUGCUCGGGAAAAGGCAUUUAAAUAAAAUACAAAUAACUUCUAAAAUAUUAUUUUUGUGGUUUUGGGAAGUCUCAUAGAUAAUAGAUUCCAAAUAAAAUAUUUGUUAUAAAAUAUUUUCCCUAAUUUGAUGACUUGUAGUUCAAACCUCAAUUUAGGGGGUUUGAAAACCUAAAUUGAAUAAAUGCUUUUUGGAAAACAAAUGUGUAAAAAAAGUUUUAUAACCUAUACACAUGGCAUGAUCAUUGGGCAAAGAUUUUGAUCAAGGAGAUGACUUUUGAGAUUAGGGGGGUUUUAUGAAUUAAAGCACAAGCAAGCAAGCAAAUAGCAAUCAAUCCAAACAUCUCGUUCACACAAAAGUUGUUGUUGGUCCAAAUUUUUGAGCUGUAUUAGCUUAGUAAUUUGAUGCAAAACACAGGGUGUGAUAAACCUACUCGCUUACAAGAAUCCCGUCCCCGAGAUUCCAGGCUAGACCUUAAAGAGAUACCAAAAUCUGGGUGUGAGGUAGUCUUCACGUUCCAAUGUUGCUUUUGCUUUGGUGUGUUUGCUCCACUGUACCUUGAAGUGCUUGACAACAUGGCUUCAAGUGCAAUGCUGAGCUUCAUCCAAGAUGCGAACGGGGCCCUUGCAAUAAGUUAGGUCUGAUUGAAGGUCAAGGGCUUGAUGAACGAGGUUCACACAAAGGUCUAGUUUUUGUACAUUUUUCCAAAGUUGAAAUACGUGAAAAUGUAGUGUGUCAUCAUGAUGUGUGCACUAGUCUCGAGGGGUCAUAGCCUUGGUGUAGCUUCCUAGUAACAUGUAAUCAUUGGUUUCCCUGGAAGCACAUGACCUUCAGUUGCACAUGGUCUUGAACUAUCUGAGUGUUCAAAAUUAUCAGCGUAGGCUUCUCGUUGAUAUAUUCUACUUCAGUAAGUUGUCUAGGCAUGUUCUAUAGCCAACUGCGCUUGCUUCUUGGCCAUUUGUCUUUAUAGUCGCGAACGCACACUGCCAACAUAUCUUCGAGUGUUAGUUUAAUUAUCCCUUUGUACCCACUUUUGGCAAAGGUUUGGGUUGAUCCUUGUCCUUGAAACUCACGUUAGAGAUUUAGUAGCAAAACAUAUUCUUCAAUCUGAGAAGGUUUUGGAGGGGUUCUAAAUAAGAUGAUUAUUCAGUAGUGUAGAUGAGAUAACUAGUCUUCUUGGUUGGAGGUUCGGACAUGUGGGGAGGACUAUCUUUGGCAGGUGGUUCACCAUGAUCUAGUCAAGCUCACAUCCUUGAUUGGGACAAAAGUGGCUACUAAUGAAGUCAUGACAAUCAUUCAACUCUCGUCCAGGCUCUGGACAUAGUAGGGAUGUCAUGCUCAUCUUACUCUAUCCAGGUGGUGGAGUGAGGUGUGCCAUCAACUUCCGAGUUUCUUCCUAGCUACGAAUUGAAUGGUGACCUUUACAUCAAGGAAUUAUUUAAUUCCAUUUAAAGUCCAAGGGUUUCAUAUUGCUUGAACAUCGUUGCUUCUUGACAUAGUGUAGGUGAGGUAGUCUCGCGAGGAAGUGGUGGUUGACUUCUCAUGCUUCCUUAUAUUUGUUGUGGUUUCCCAAUCCUUUAAUUGUUCUUGAUUGUGUUUGGGUAAGAAUAUCUUCUAUUGUAGGGAGAGCACUCCGAGGAGUCCAAAUUUUCAAGGUAAAACUUUACACUUAAGAAAGUUGGCAACUUAUGCUUUUGAGGCUUAUCCGAAGUAGGACUAGGAUGCUCCUUACUAUUCUUGGAUAAAUAAGUUUGUCAUCCAUGAGGGCAACAACCUAUUUCUCCAAGUAUCACAUAAAGGUUCUUCUCAUGGGAUAUGUGAGAGUAGAGGCAUUUGUUCCAGGUGGUUACUUGUCCAGGGCUUUGCGGGCCUUCAUAAUCUAGUUCUUCGUGUCCACCUUCCUUAUGGAUAGGAUUGGUGAUGGUCAAGGUGGAGUAUUGGUCAAAGUAUUUUGACUUAGAGCCAAAACCUAUGGUCAUAAUCCACUAUGCUCUGGAUCGGUAAAGUUUAGUGGUUUAAAGGAUUCUGGUAUGUGAGUGAACGUUCAUAAUUGUAUGCUUGUGCAUAGUUCUUAGAUGCCAAUAGUCCUACCUAUUUUUCCAAAUAGAAUAAUCUUAUACCACCGUAAGCAUUAUCUCAUAUAAGUCAUCUCUAAACAUCACUCAAGCCAUUCAUAUAUUCAUGACUCUUGAGAGGAGGACUAAACUGAUCCUUACAUGUCAACUAUAACCAUCUCACAUGUAUCCCUAUGUAAAAAUAUUCGGUUAGAGCAUACAAGCUAAUAAUCUUGAUUAAAACACUAGAAAUCCAAGUGCGCACUAAUCUAUCCAAGAUCUAAGGAUCUGCAUUUCUAUGCUAAGGAAACAUGCAAUAUACCAUAACAAUAUUGGUAGUGUUCCACAUAAUCUUCUAGAGUUCCUAUAAUCCCCGAAUUCUUUAAAGGACUAUCUUAUUAUGGUAUAACCACCAAUUUCCACUAUCAUAGUCAUGUAAACUCCAAUGUCAAGCUUAUACAGAUCCCCAAAUCAACUCUAACAAACAACCCAAUUUGUCAUAGUUUAUUUUUCGCCAAGAAACAUGGUAUCAUGAUCGAGAUCAUCAAUCCAAAUCCAAAUUACUCUGAACCAUGUAAACUUACUUAUCAUCAAGACUUUGUUACAAUCACCUCCAAAUAUCCUAUCCAACUAGUGUUCCUACUUGUUCAUCCAAGUCAUUAACGUAACUUCAUCAAUUUCCUAUGAAUAUUACCUAGUGAAGUUAAAUUCUUACUCCAAGAAUUUCAGCUUGUGAUCAUAAUUCUCCUACGAAAUCCAAUCUACUCAAGGGAGAUGUAAGUCAUGUACUCCAUUAACUACAUCCACCAAGUUUAUCUACCAACACAGCAGUCUCAUGUGAUCCACCAAUGACCCUUAGCUAUAUCCUCAAGGCAUCUAUUAUAGCCUAAUAAAAUCAUUUGUCUAGUGACAGUAUAUCCUUAGGCGGUUGUCCCUAUGGCAUCACCUGUUCAUUUAUUGGCUUAAAAAUGUAAUGUGUUUGUUAACUAUGAUCACUAGUUCCAUAAUGAACCCAACGCUAAAUAAAGGUUAUUGAAGCUUAAUUCGUUCUCUUGCAAACUGGUAUGUUAAGCAUGUGGUUAAGGGUUUAAUCUAGGGUAACUUGUGAGGUCUAGGGUUUGUCUCAGGCACAUCAAGACGUGACAUAUUUAUUGCACAUCUAAGUGACACAAUGAAGCAUGGAAAGGAAAAUAAAAAUCAAAAAAAUACCCACACGUAUAUCCGAGUAAGAUCAAUACCAUAGGAAUUUGAUGUGCAAUACUUAUGUCACAUCUAGAUGUGCUUUAGCUAAACUGUUAUAGGUUAGUCUAGGGAAGGGUUUCCAGUUGUCACAACCCUCAAACAUUGAUUGGUGAUAGUUGCAUCAACAUCCAUGCAUCAUGAUAAAAUACAAAUGAAUUUGAAAUGGGCAUUGAUCAAACCCUAGCAGAUAAAUAAUUCAACUAGGUUCANNNNNNNNNNNNNNNNNNNNNNNNNNNNNNNNNNNNNNNNNNNNNNNNNNNNNNNNNNNNNNNNNNNNNNNNNNNNNNNNNNNNNNNNNNNNNNNNNNNNNNNNNNNNNNNNNNNNNNNNNNNNNNNNNNNNNNNNNNNNNNNNNNNNNNNNNNNNNNNNNNNNNNNNNNNNNNNNNNNNNNNNNNNNNNNNNNNNUGAACCUAGUUGAAUUAAUUAUCUGCUAGGGUUUGAUCAAUCGACAUUUCAAAUUCAUUUGAAUUUUAUCAUGAUGCAUGGUUGCUCAUGAAACUAUCUACAAUCAAAGUUCUAGGGAUGUGACACCAAGCUUAAGGGAGAGGCAUAACUUUAGAACACCUUUAGUAUUCUGCGUCGGUAGGGCCCGCCCCGGGCAUACCUCCGCCGCGAUUGGACUGACCGGAUACCAGGAUGACCCAAAGGGGGAAGGGGCUACGAGAACAGUUAGGCACCUAAGUCGCGAUGCUCAGGAGUCCCCCUUGACGUACGAGCGACUCCCAUGUCCCUCCUAAGAAUCUGACAAUUUGAGACUCCCGAACUCCUUCAGCACUCUGCGUUGCAGGGCCCACCCCGCGCGUACCUCCACCUCCGUUGGACUGCCUGGGCGGCCCAAGAGGGAAGGGGCUACGGGCGCAGUUCUGGCUCCUGAGUCGCGAUGCUCAGGAGUCCCAUUGACGUACGAGUGACUCCAGCAUUCUCCCUAAGAGAUUUUAAGCGGCUUGUUGAGCGCACUAGGCUCUGUGUCGGCAAGGCCCGCCCCGCGCGUACCUCCACCGCCAUUGAACCGACCAGAUUCCAGGAUGGCCCUAGAGGGAAGGGGCUACGGGCGCAGUUAGGCCCCUGAGCCACGAUGCUCAGGGGUCCCCCUUGACAUACGAGCGGCUCCGUACCUCCAGUUGUGUGUCCCCCACAAGGGUGUAGUCAUAGGUGGACUGGGUUGACCUUCUGCCAGCUGUGGGCGUAGUCAUUGGUGGACUGUUUUGAUUUCCUUGCGAGCUGUGGGCAUAGUCAUUGGUGGACUGUGUUGAUUUCCUUGCCAGCUGCGGGCAUAGUCAUUGGUGGACUGAGUUGAUUGCCUCCGUCUUCCUCCCAGUGCGGAGCAUAGGGAUGCCACUAGGCGUGUGAGGGACCCCUCCGUGUCCUCGGGGGGCCCGGGCGUAUACAGCCUCGGCUCGUUAUUACAUGAGAGUGUCACAGUGGGGGUGUAUCUGGGAGGUCGCGAGGACGCUUUGGCCUCGCGAGUGUCCCUACCCCCGAGGCAUAGGCGCCUAAUUCCUUUUUGGUCUUCACCCAACGUGGAGCAUAGGUCAUCUACUCGGUGUGGGAGGGGCUCCUCCGCGUCCUCAGGGGGCCCCGGGUGUAUACAACCACAGCUCGUUAUUACGUGAGAGUGUCACGGUGGGGGCGUGCAGCGACGUGUUUUUCGGAAAAUAAUUCCGAGAAAACAGGUCUUUGUGUUUACCAGCCCCAGGAUUGUUGUUAACUGGUAGACACCUACUUGAUACAGAAUAUCCAAGCAAAAUACAAAAUCUGGGUUACAAGACCAUGAAGGUCUACUGGGUUGAACAAAAGUCUGAGGUUGGCGGCGGAAGCGACUCGAGGAAUUUCCAGUGCCCAUGGGACUCCAUGCCUAGAGGAACAACUGAUGUGGAUAAAUUCCUAUCUCAUAAGGCUGCUGUCCUUGACUCCUAGGUUUCGGGGUUGAUGACAUCGUGCUCCUCUCCGAACGCAAUCUGGCCAAGACAAUAGCCAGGGACAAGCCAGUGAGUACUUUGAAUGUACCGCAAACAUGAAUAAAAUAGUUAAGUUAAGAAGGUGAUAUGCAUGCAAAUUUCCACUAACAAUUAUAUCUUGCCAUUAGAGUUUAAUUCAUGGAUGCAUUGAUGAAGAUAUGCAAUGUUUCCACCAAUGUUUUAUAAACAAGCAAAAGAUGGCAAUAAUGAAUAAUAUGCUUGCCACAGUCGGGCGUCUGAGCGACACCGCAUAAAGGGCUUAUAGAUAUGACAAUAAGCAUGCCUAAGUCGGGCGUCUGAGCGACACCACAAAAAGGGCUUAUAAGAAAUGAUAAUAAGCAUGCCACGGUCGGGCGUCUCGGCGACACCAGAUAAAGGGCUUAUAUGAAACAAUGAACAUGCCACAAUCAGGCGUCUAAGCGACACCACAUAAAGGGCUUAUAAGAAAUAAUUAUAAAUAUUGAAUAUCCAGGAGGUAGAACCGUCCCAGGGAUAUCCAACAACAUAAUCACAGGGGUUAGUCAAGAAUAACAAUCAUAAUAUGAACCUGUCCCACAUCAUCAUAUGAUUUUCCACAUCCAUUAUUAUUAUCACCGUUUAAACUCCAAAGACCGACUCUAGGACCGACACUUGACUCGUCAAACAACGUCCUUGACCGGGACACGGCUACUCGAAUAGUUUUGACUCUGCAGAGGUGUACUCUUUACCCAUAGCUCAUGGUUUUCAAUAGUCGACAAGACUAAUCCGGCGUACGGCAUUUUAGAAGUGGACACUCAGAAUCAGCACACACUGAUUUUUCUCCGCGGAGCCCGGCUACACCCAGACUACGCUGCCAAGGCAAAACCAUAAGAAGGGGAGGUUGCGCUCUCGACUAGCAUGGGAUCAAAAAUUUAUAUCACAAGCUCACUGGGAAGGGCCAUUCCCUCCCGGUCCUAGACCAGGAACACCAAUGCCCCCUGACCGGAUGACUGGAUUUACUCGAGGGCCCUGGAUACCUUCAUUUUGGCCCCUCUAAUUGGUGUGUGACUGAUAAUAGGUCUACAACUGGCUUUACCGAAUCCAUUAUCCAGGAAACUGUGGUAGCAAGUUAUAGAAGUAUGACACGGACAAGACUCGAUCUAGGUCGAUAAUGGAGUUAACCAAGUUUUACCAGCAUCAUCGUGCACAUGUCAUGACCAGGCCAUAACCUAUCACGUUCCGCGUGACUAGGUUAUCCCAAGAUCUCUCAUAACUAGCACAUGCCAUCAUCAUGUUUCACCAUUUAUAUAAUAUGAGUAGCAAGUAUGAAGAAUGCAAGGUAUUAUUUCAUGCGAGAUCAUUAUCAACAUCACCUCAAAUCACGCGAUAUAAGCACCAACACAAUCAUCACACAACUUUAUGCAAAUAUGGAUUCAAGAUGCAUGCCUUAGGGGCUUGAGGAGGGUGAUGUGUACCCCAUAUCUUGGAGUAGGUAUCCUCUCUUCAAAUCCUAUUUUGACAAAUAUUUGAAUUAACACACAUAUUCAAAACAGCACACCAAAGUUGUUUGUAUAAAUUUUAAAUAAAUCCUAAAAUAAACUAGAUGAAUUCUAAACAAGUAGGAAAAAAAUCAAUUGAUUUGGAGUUUCCUAUAAAAAGUUAGAGCUAUUCUAAGAUUCUGUUUAAAUUUGUUUUUAAAAUCAAAACUAAAAGAAAACGCUUCGGCAGGAAAUGUGUAAGCGCGAGGGAGAGGCGUACUUGGUGGAAUGCGUCUCCACUUACGCGGGCGGCGGCUCGGUCCUGUCUCUAACGCGCAGGGCCCAACGACAGGUUUGACGCUGGUCAAACCGGUCGUCUCCCUCCUCUAGCCGACGGGAGGUGAGGCCUCCGGCGAGGCCCGCCGGUGACAUGGGCCACCGUACGGGCACCCGGGGGUAUCAGCGUGCUCAGGGGCUCACGACAGCUCGGGGAAGGGUACGACACAACUUCUAGGGGCUUGGGAGCUCCAGUGAUGACAAGGCCAGCGGACGGCGGUGCGUCCAGCAAGGGAGCUUCGCCCACGGUCUACCUAGCGCUCACCCGAGAGGGGGAAAAUGACCACCACACUCACGCGGUUCUGUUCCAAUGAAAAACAGCGGCGAAAGGGUAUGGUUGGUCACUAAUUUAGGUCGGCUUGGACGUGGCCAAGGUUUGCCGGAACUUGAGAAGAUGGUGGCCUAUGGUCAAAUUGGGUAGGGGGAAGGUCUCCUAUGGUUGUGAUGAAAAGGUUGUUGCACCAAAACAAGCUCGAAGGGAGGUUUAAAGAGGUGGCUCGAGGCGGUUCCCGGCCUCUUGCUGAUAAGCUCGUUGGAGACACCUUCCUGGCAGGGUAUUGGGGCGAGCUAGCGGUGCAGCAGGGCAACAGAGGGCUCAGUAGCAGGGAGAAGCGAGCACGGGAUGGACUGUGACCAGCUGGCGAUCAGAGGGGGCUUGGGCGGCGCUGGCCACUGCAGCAGCUGAGAAGAGGCCACGGCCGUCACGCUGCCGCUGCACUGCUUGCACAGGGGCGACGACCAACUGUCGGAGAGGUGAGGGUUGGACUCGACUCUGCAGCAGACCAAAAGGCAAGGGGCACGGGGACGCGACAACUCGGCUUCCGCACGUGCAAAACGUGCGCUCUGGUGCACCCUGAGCGUGCACGCAAGGUGUUCGACACCAUGCCAGCACAGGAAAAAGGGCACCAAUGCUCAUUCCAACACACAGGGGUAGGCUAGGGGGUAAAGUAGAGUGGAUGGACAUGAAUAUUUGGCUAGGGAAGAAAGUUGCCAGUGCAAACUCUAUCAAAAUGCCAAAUGUGGUCAUGCACAUAACCUGCUCGAUAGAAAGCUACUUGCAUCCACUUGCCUUUUCUAGUGCCCAAAAACUCCAGGUCAGGGUCUCUCUAGGUGCUAGCAAUUGUGGUGAGGUUAGUUUGGCAAAAAUCAAAACUAGCUAAUGCAAAAUUUGAAAAACACAAUUCUGGACGGAAACUUGGAGCUAUUAUCACAUGCACUUACUUUCAUCCAAUAGGGCUCAACUCCCGGGGUUAAUGUUUUAGUAGGGUGCCAAACAAGCAUGCAAACUAUCACAUCAAUUUGAGCAAGUAAAAGUAGGGUUGUAGUGCAAGGUACCAAACUAGACCAGAACAGAAAAUUGAAUGUUAUGCUAAAUUUUUCCAAAGUACACAGUGGGGUUUUUGCAUAAAAGUGAAUCUCAUGCUAUACUUGACAUCCCCAAUUUUUAAUGGAAUUUUCGAAAGAUUAUUUCUAGGGGUUGCAGUACAAACUCAAAUCUGGACCAGAUUAGAAAAGUAGUUAAUGUGCUCAAAAUAUUCAAAACACUUGGGUAGGUUUUUGCAUAAAUGUCGUCCACGGACAUCACAUGUCAUAUCCAAAUUUUUAUAUAAUUUUUAGAAGAAGUGAUCACAAGGCUGCGGUGCAAAACAGCCCUAUAAAGAAAAUAUAAAUCUGUUUUGAAUAAAAGAAAUCUGGGUAAAAAAGAUUAAAAUAAAAUAUCCCAAGAAUUUUCCAGAAGAAAGAAAUGUUUUUAUGCAAGUACUCAUGUUCCAACAUAAAUUAUCAAAAACAUUUACCUAGGGAAAACAUCCUUAUAAAGGAGGAAGGAGUGUUUCAGAGAUUAAUUAAAAAUCAAGAAAUUCAGAUAUUAAAUAGACAUAGCCAAAAUAAUAUUCCUAUCUAAAUAAAUAAUUCAAAAUGGUCUCAAGUAAUGGCUCAAGCAUUGCAAGAUCUUUGAAAAGCCACUUGAAAUGAAAAGUUUUUGGAAAGAGGCUUUGAAAAGAGUCAUGAAGCAAAUUAUUUUCUCAAUUUUUUUAUUCUAGGCAAUAUUUUAUUUCAAAAAAAUAUUAUUAAAUUAUUGGGGUGUGACAGGGUGUAUCCGGGAGGUCGCGAGGACGCUUUGGCCUCGCGAGUGUCCCUACCCCCGAGGCAUUAGGCGCCUGAUUCCUUUUUGGUCAUUGGUAAACCAUGUUGGCUUCUUCUUCUUUGGGAGUGAGGCUGAGUGUGUGCUGCCUGAGGAGGCCUGCAAGGGUAAGCUUCGGCCAGAGCCCCCAAGCGGGGGGCCGACCACCCAAAGAUGCAAGCAAGGUAGAACGUUAGGGUUCAAAGUGGGUGCGACAGAAACAACUAAAGGAUGCGUAAAUGAAAGUAGCGGCUGGGGAGUGCCCUGAACUCCUAGAGGCCUCAUGGCCCUGUGGGCGCCGUCGGGCAGAGUGAGCCAAAAAGUUACCUCGCAGCGGCCAGCAAAAAGUCACCUUGCGGCCAUGCCGCUGAAAUGCCGGAGGCGCCGUCGUCGCCCGAUCUCCUCGUUCCACAAUCGCGAUCCUCACGGGUCCGCCGUCUGCCGAGGCUCGGGAACUUCGCUUGACCCGAGCAUCUCCUCCUCUUCCUCACCACACCGAGGAGGCAAGGCAUGAGCAUGGUCUGCUAGUGCCGCCAGCAGGUAGCAGCUCCGUUCCCCAGCCCAAAGGGCAUGAGAGUGUCGGCGCCCGGCACACCCACCGAUGGUCAGCUUGCGCCGGCCAUAAGGGGCCUUGAGUCACGGCUCUGUCGAUUGCGAGUGCGUUGACGCAGAUGCGGGGCCGAUCGACCGCAUCGACGACGGCGAUUGCGAUUAGUGAUGCAGGGCAGUCCCCGGCUCGCGCGGCGUGGGCCUCUCGAAGUUCUUGGAUUGUUGUGAUGACGGACUCACAGGAGUUGGGCAUACGUGCGCUGGAGUGCGCCAUCGGGUUGUGCUCGAGCGCCACCCUCGCCUCACUGGCCAGGCCGGGAAUCUCCCCGGUGGGAGCCCCCAGUCCUGACCCAAGGGGGCACCGAGCGCACCUUCCUAUGCGAUGGGAGGCAAGACCCCAUCCCCAGGCACGGAGCCCGAAGUCCCAGGGCGCUCCGUAGGGAGGAGCUCCUUCUUCUUCUUGCAUGGGUGCCCGUGAGGUGGCUCGUCUUCUUCGUCAUCUGAGCGUUCCGCCUCCGCAGUGCGGUAGGCUCGAUCGAGUGUACAAACGACAUCCUUCUUGUCGCAUGCGCUGGUGAUGACGCCGCCGCUCCCUGGCAUCUUGAGGACGUUGUAGCCAUGGUGGUUCACUGCCAUGAACUUGGCGAGAGCCGGGUACCCAAGGAUCGCGUUGUAUGGCAGGUGGAUGUGCGAGACGUCAAAGACGAUGAUCUCAGUGUGGUAGUUCUUGCUCUCGCCGAAGGUGACUGGCAGACGCACCUGCCUGAUGGGCAUGGUGGACACUUUCGUGACUCCUGAGAAGGGCUUCGUCAGCAUCAGUUGUUCGUACGACAGCUAGAGUGUCUCGAAGGUCUCAACCGAGAGGACGUUGAGCCUCGCUCCACUAUCGAUAAGGGUCUUGGCGAUGAGGAUGUUGCUGAUGGUCGGGUGCACAUCAUGGGGAGCUUGUCGACCAUGAACGAGCACCUGAGCUAAUCACUUGGGUUAAAGGUGAUGGUGGUCUGGGACCAGUUGAGGGGGCGCAUCGCUUCAGGCUUCGGGAGAGCGACAUUCACCUCCCGGGCGAACUGCUUGAAGGCACGGUUCGAGGCCGGGGUCUGGGCGCCGCCUAGGAUAGAGGCCACCACCCUGACCUCUUGGAAGGCCCCACCCCUGUCAUCCUGUCUGUCUUCAUCCCUCCUUCUAGAUGGCGGAGGCAGCGGAGGCAGCCCAGCCUCACGAGGGCGAACCUCGCGAGGCCGACCGUGUCGUUGCCCCUUCCGAAGAUCGUCGCGCCAGUGGUACUCCUCAGGCUGGCCAUGCCAACGGUCUUCAUGUGGCUGCUCAUGCCAUCCCUAACGUGGCUCCCGGUCAUCCCAGCGGCCUCCACUACGACCACCGCCGCGCGCGGGGCCUCUGUCUCCCUGUCCGGGGCACGUGCCGAAGUGCUCGUUACAGACCAGUCGGAGCUCGUGGCACUCGGACGUAUCAUGGCCGCUGGUGCCGUGGAAGAUGCAAGUUGGCCCUCCUCCUGACAGACGCUCCCCCCUCGGCCGUGCUUCGCCUCAGGCUCGGUUGUGAGCACCACCGGAGCCUUGUGCUUUGCCUCCUUGGCCUUGGUCUUCUUCUCUUCUUGUUCCGCAGCCUGAGGCCCGAGGAGCAACAGGCGACCUUCUUCAGCCCUGGCGCACUUGUUUGCCAGGUUGAACAUCUCCAGUGCAGUGCUCAUUUCAUCACUCAUGGCGAGCUCCUCCUUCAUCUUGAGGUCGGUGACUCCUUCGGAGAAGGCCGAGAUGACUGCAUCGUCUGACGCCUUGGGGAUCUUGAGGCGCAUGGCCGUGAAGCGUUGUAUGAAAUUGUGUAGGGUCUCCCCCUCCUGCUGCUUGAUGCACCGCAGGUCGUUCACGGUGGGAGUGUGGUCGCGGGUGCCCUGGAAGUUGGCGAUGAAGCGCUCGCGUAGAUCAUCCCAGGAGGUGAUGGACGCCCUUGGGAGGUUGAGGAGCCAAGAGAGCGUGCCACCCUUGACCGCCAUGAGGAACCAGCACGCCAUGACCUUGUCGCCCCCUCCUGCCACCCUGAUACUCAGCGUGUAGAGUUGCAGGAACUCGGCCGGAUCCAAGGUGUCAUCGUAGCACGGGGGUAGGUCGGGCUUGAACUUGUAGGGCCACAUGGUUGGGUAGAGCUCAGGAGCGAUGUCGAGGCACCCCACCGGCUUGACGAGUGCAACACGCGCUGGGGUGACCUAGUCCUGGUGCUCCACUCGGUCUGCUUCGAGCAGGGCACGCUCGCGGUGCAGAUUUGCAGCGCGAGGAGCGCACGCGUCGGCGCGUGGCCGAGGAACCACAUGAGAGCUUGCUUCAUCUCCUGGCCCCAUCCUGGGUUCGCGAGGCCGGGCGCGGGGACGCGAUUCCUGCCUGGGAUCGAGGUGCGCGCCAUGCCACGGAGGUGGGGCAGCGUGUCUUGCUCCUCAUUGUUCGCCAGGGAUGGUUGGGGUCGAAACGAGCAGGAGAAUGUCGUGGGAUCACCGACAGCGGCGACAAGCUCCUCGAUGUGCUAGAGCCAGUCAUUGUGGCGGUCAGGGGCGGGCCGGUAGCAGAGCAGCUCGGUGGCCAUGGCAAGCGCGCGCCGUCCAUGCAGCAUCUCCGGACGGGCGCUUGAGGCCGACCCGGACGAGCGACAGAGUGGCGGUGCGGCCGUCGGGCUGCUCGGUAGCCGGCUUGGAGGAACCUUGCUGUGCUUGAACGUCGGGGCCCAUGGCGGCGUUCUCCUUGGGCGAUGGUGACCGGUGCACGCCGGCGGGGCACACGGGUGUCGGAUUUCGGGCUCCGUAAAACCCUAAGGAUUCGAAUACUUGGGCGUGUGCGAAGGUCUCUCCCUGCUCAGCCUCGCCUAGCCCACUACUCUAUGGAAAUGACGUAGGAUUCACUCGAUGGCGAGGGUAGCACAGAUCACAAUAGUUUACCCAGGUUCGGCUCGUUGCGAAGCGUAAAAUCCUACUCCUGCUUUUGGUUGAUUGCCUCUCACGGAGGUAGUGGAUGAACUAGUACAGUGCUCUCGAGCCUCUAGAGGUCAAGAAGCUAGGUGUAUUGCUAUAUGGUCAGACCGCACUCCCUCUACCAAGUGUUCUACCCUCUCUAUUUAUAGCGGAGGCCGGGUCCUCUUCCCUCAUAGCUUCGGCGGGAAGGGAUCCCACAACGGCCAAUUUUGAAGGGGAACAGGGGAACAUGCUCCCCUGCCCAAAGGUGGUCUUCGCGUGCAAAGUAACUCUGCGCGCUGCAGGGUUGGGCCCGAGGGUGACGUUUUCCCUGCUGGCGGGCGGCGGCGACUUCGUUGCACCAGAAGGGAAACCUUUGGAAGAUGCCUUUGGCACCCCUGUACGUUCCCGCCUCCUUUGCACUAAAGGGGAAACUGCUCUGUCCUGCCAUCUCCUGCUCGCUCGUCCUUUCAAGGCAUCACCCUUGACUCCUGAGGCCCGGCCUUGCCUCAGAAUAUCCGCCGCUCCGGAGGGGUCCUGAGGAGGCCCACUGCGGGUCUCGACACUGCUCCUCCUCGUGAGGCUUGGCCCCUCACGAGGGCCUUACCCUGAACGGUGUCGGGCCCGUUGGUUUGUUUUGGUGAGGUCGGCCCGCCCUAGGCCACCGGCAGGCAGGUCUGGGUACCCCCAUUCCCAGAACGCCAAUAGUAGCUCCCGGGCCCGUGGAGUACUCGGGUUUGCAGCGGGGCGGAGCCUCGGAGGGCAGCAUGAGACACCGUCGGCCCUCAAAUGCGUGUGGGCUAGGCCGGCGCGCAUCACACUGCUGGUGUCGGGUCCUCCUUGUCCUCUAUCUUCUCCGAUCCUGGACUGCACCCUCUCUGAGGACGCGGAUCUUGUCCACGUGCUUCCAUGGACCGCCGCCGAGUCCAGCGAGCACAUCCGAACCAUCAUCUAGCGUGGCGCCAUAGAGGAGCAGCCGGCGGCGGGGCGGUACCCCUUCUUCCUUCACAGUAUUUAUGCUGGGCCGGUGCUGCCUUUCUCCUGGUUCUUCACUACUGUCUUGGAUCACUAUGGCAUCCAAGCCCUUCAUCUCCAGCCCAACUCCAUCUUGCUUAUGUGUGUCUUUGCCUUCUACUGCGAGGCUUUCGUUGGCGUGCAGCCUUCGGUUGCCCUCCUCCGCCACUUUUUAAGCUUGCGCCGUCAUGCCGGCGCUCAUUUGUCGGUGCGUGUCUCCUUCAUGGCGGCCCAGAGCGGCAACAUGCUAUUGAAGGCCGGGAAGAAGGUGGAGAACUUCAGGCACCGUUGGGUCCUCAUGUGCCUCAAGGAUGCCAACCCUCGGCUGGAAGAGCCGAAGGAGUUGCCGGAGAAGACUUCCACGUGGAGCUCGCCGAAGCUCUCCGACCCUCGGGCUGUGCCCGUGCUGGAGCGCUUUUCCCACGACAUCGGCACGAAGAGGCUGGCCGGGGGAAUGAUAGUGAAGAAGUUCCUCGCGCAACGCUUGGCGCCUCUCUAGGCACAGUCCAGGCCCUUGUGGGAGUACCGGGCUGGCGACUACGAGCUGCGGCUCCGGUCCAGGGACCUCCCAACAAAGGACCUGAGUAGGGUCGUGGCGAUCUUGCUCGACGGCGACCGUGGUGACCUUCCCAAGUCCCUGGGUCCGUUAUACCGUCGCAACGAAUGGGCUGACUUGGUCGCUGCGAUGCAUGUCUUCAACGAGCGGGGGUUCCUCCCAGCUGAGGGCUCCGGUCCAGUGGAGGUGUCAUCCGGCAACACCUCCGGUGAAGUGGACUCGUAGAAGACCGUCGACGACCGCGUGGCGGGCAUGCCUCUCCCGUCGCAAUAUGUCCUUCUGCACGAGCUCGAGGAUGCUGAUGCCGCUAAUGAUACCUCCAUCGGGACCCCCUCGCGCCUAGCCAGGGCCCAUAGGGGGCCGUGCCGACUCCGCGCGCGAUGCGGUGUGCAUGCGUGCUUGCUUCCCAGAAGCUCAGGGCUAGCCGUCCCUGGCGCACCCCACCUCUACUGAUGAGAGAUCCAAGGGCGUCGAGCUCGCCCCCUCCGUGGGGGCCCCAGUUACCUCUGGUGUCCCCGGGGCCGAGAGGAGGAAGAGACGGCGCAAUGUCGAAGAGUAAGUUACCUGCUUGGACACGCCUUGUGCGUCUAUUGGACGUGCUUGGCUGAUUUUCCCCUUUUUACUUGAUGUCCAGGGAUGUCGUCUCGCCAAGGGCGAAGAAGAAGAAGACGGUCGUCAAGACGAAGGCGACUCCCGACGCCCCGCCUGCACUCGUCGGCGCGUCGCCGUUCGCAGGUGGGGAAGAGGAGGCUCGUGGGGCGGUCUCCCUGGCCUUGAUCGUCAAGCCCCCCGAGCCCCCAAAGCAUCCUGAAGCGACCCUGGGGAUACCGUCGCCCGGGGCGGUAGGCUUGCGAGGGCCCUCAAGCUCCCGAGGUGUCGAUGCCCGCGAUUGCUGAGCAGUCUUCAGGGCCCCCUAUUCGUCACGGUGCCGCCCCUCUGACGGCACCACCUGGGCCUGCGGUGGAGACCCUUCAUGAGGAGGUCCAGAAGACCUCGGUGUUCAUCCAAGGUGUCUUGAAUGUGGCCUUCGCCGCCCUGGGUGAUGUCGCAGCCGAGAUGAGGAAGGUCGAGAAGGAGGCCGAGGCCGCCCGCGCCGUGCGUGAGAAGGCGCUGAAGGAGGCCAAGGCGGCUAUCGAGCGCUAUGAAGAGGUGGAAGCCCGCCUGAACGCCCUCCAGGGGGAGCAAACCAAGCUGGCCGAGCAGCAUGGCUUGCAGGGGGAGGAACUUAACAUCCGCGAGGCCAAGCUUGUCGCCUGGGAGGAAGAACUGUCCCACGAGGCGAGCUGCCUCGGCAUGGAGCAGGUGCGCUUGGAGGAGCGGGAAAAGGAUGUCACCAAAAGGAAGGCUCUCCUUGAGGCCCAGGAGAAAGCUCUCGCCGUGGCCGAGGAGAGGAAAGCCGCAGAGCUGGCUUUCUUCCCCGAUGUUGAGCUCAGGCUUCGCAAGGCACUCCGCUCCCUCUGCCGGGACGAGUUCGACGAGCCUCUCGCCACCCCGGAGGACGGCUUCGCCGCACUCACGAAGGGGCUCGUCGCGGCGCUGGAGAUUGCCGUCACGCAGAUGGACCAGACCUUGGACAGCGUGUGCCGCGACCUCGUCUUCGCGGCUCCGACUCAUGUCUUCAGUCACCCUCAUCUCCGCGACCCCGGGUUCAAUCUAAGAUCUGUGAUAGUGUCGUUCCCCGCCGAGGCCCGUGACCGCGCCGCAGAGGCGGUGAAGGGUCAUGUGGAGGCACCAGUGAGGAGGUUCGACCGCGUCCUAGCUCCUUCGUUUGCAGGCACCGCUGGAGCCGAUGAUGGGGAAGACGAUGCUUCUGACAUCAAUGACCAGUCCCCUGCGGAGGGGGUGACCGGAGGCGGCUCCUCCUGAUUCCUUGUCCCUAUUAUUUUACUGCAAUUCACAUCGUGCCUCGUGGAGGCGUUAAACUUAUUUGCGUUUUUAUGAACUUGGUCGUGGUCUGUAAUAAUUGAAUGCUUGAAUAUUUUCCUCGCCUUGUUCAUGUCAUGUUUGUUGUGUUACUCUACAUCAGCAGGGCCCUCCCCACGUUUGCCUUCCCGCAAUUGAACCGACCGGAAACCAAGAACGGCCCAAAGGGGGAAGCGGCUACGAGCGCAGUUAAGCUCCUGAGUCACGAUGCUCAGGAGCCCCCCUUGAUGCGCGAGCUGCCCACAUGAGGAGAACGCGGCUAAGAUUUCGAAACUUGGGACAUCUUGAGCACUCUGUGUCGGCAAGGCCCGCCUCGCUCGUACCUCCCCAUGAUUGAACCGACCAGAAACCAAGGACGACCCAAAGGGGGAAGGGGCUACGAGCGCAGUUAGGCCCCUGAGUCGCGAUGCUCAGGGUCGCCCUUGACGUAUGAGUGACAACAAUGUUCCUCCUAAGAAGCCAACAACUUGAGACUCUCGAACUCCUUCUGCACUCUGCGUCAGCAGGGCCCGCCCCACGCGUACCUCCCCGCGGUUGAACCGACCAAAAAGGGCGGCCCAAGUGGGAAAGGGGCUACGCGCGUAGUCCAGGCUCCUGGGUCGCGAUGCUCAGGAGUCCCACUUGACAUACGAGUGACUCUAGUGUUCUUACUAAGGGAUCUGAAGUGAUUUGUCGAGCGCACUUGGCUCUGCGUCGGUAGGGCCCGCCCCGUGCAUACCUUCCCACGAUUGAACCGAGCAAGGACGACCCAAAGGGGGAAGGGGCUAUGGGCACAGUUAGGCCCCUGAGUCGCGAUGCUCAGGGGUCCCCCUUGACGUGGGAGCAGCUCCGUACCUUUAGCUCUUUGCCCCACGUGCUGGGCGUGGGUGAAGUCACGGGUGGACUAUGCAGAUCUCCUUGUCAGCCGAGGGUGUCGCCGCUGACGUGAUGCGUUGGUGCCAGCUGUGGGCACAGUCAUUGGCGGACUACAUUGGUGCCAGCUGAGGGCGUAGUCAUUGGCGGACUGCAUUGGUGCGAGCUGAGGGAAUAGUCAUUGGCGGACCGCAUUGGUGCCAGCUAAGGGCGUAGUCAUUCGCGGACUAUGUUGAUGGCCCCUAUCUGUACCCAGCGUGGAGCAUAGGUCUUCCACUAGGCGUGGGAUGGACCCCUCCACGUCCUCGGGGGCCCUCGGCGUAUACAACCUUGGCUCGUUAUUACGCGAGAGUGUCACGGUGGGGUGUAUAUGGGAGGUCGCAAGGAUGCUUUGGCCUCGCGAGUGUCCCUACCCCCAAGUCAUUGGUGGACUGAGCUUCUCCCCCAGCGCGGAGCAUAGGGCUUCCACUAGGCGUGGGAUGUACCCCUCCACGUCCUCGGGGGGCCUUGGGCGUAUACAGCCUCAGCUCAUUAUUACGUGAGAGUGUCGUGGUGGGGGUGUAUAUGGGAGGUCGCGAGGAUGCUAUGGCCUCGUGAGUGUCCCUUCCCCCGAGUUAUUGGUGGACUCAGUUGAUUUUGUUUGGGUCAUUGGCAAACCCUGCUGACUUCUUCUUCUUUGGGAGCGAGGCUCGAUAUCUGCAUGGACAAACUUCGACCGGAGCCCCCAAGAGGGGGCCCGACCGCCCGACAAUAUAUGCAAGGCAGAACGUUAGGAUUCUGAAUGGGUGAAACUGAACAACCAAACAAUGCAUAAACAAAAGUAGCAGCCGGAGGAGUGUCCUAAGCUCGGGGAGGCUGCAUGCCCUCGAGGGUACACUCAGAUGGGGUGAGGCAAAGUCACCUGGCAGCAGCCAACAAAAAGUCACCUGGCGGCCGUGUCGUUGAAGUACCGAAGGCGCCGUCGUUGCUUGAUCUCCUCUCUCCGCAGUCGCGACCAUCACGGGUCCGCGCCUCCCGAGGCUCGGGGCCUUUGCUUGGCCCGAGCAUCUCCUCCUCUUCCUCUUGGCGCCCCACCAGGCGGGGUAUGAGCAUGACCCGGUGGAUCCUCUGGUAGGUGGCAGCCGAGUUCCCCAGCCCGAAGGGCAUGAAGGCAUUGGCGUCCGGGUACUCCCAUCGAUAGCUAGCUAGCGUAGGCCAGAAGGUGUCGUAUGCCGCGGCUAUGUUGGUUACGUGCGCCUUGAUGUAGAUGCGGGUCCGGUCAACCGUGCCGAUGACGGAGACUCCGAUUGGUGGUGCAGGACAGUCACCACGCCGCAUGGCAUGGGCCUCUCGAAGUUUUCGGAUUGCUCUAAUGAUGGACUCGCGAGAGCUGGGCGUACGUGCUCUAGAGCGCGCCGUCGGGAUGUGCUCUAACGCCGCCCCGACCUCACUAAUCAGACUAGGGGCCUCCCCGGUGGGAGGCCCCACCUCUGACCCAAGGGGGGCGCCGAGCGCGCAUCCCUAUGCGAUGGGGGCAUGGCCCCGUCCCCGGGCACGGAGCCCGAAGCCCCGAGACACUUCGUGGGGAGGAGCUCUUUCUUCUUGCGUGGGUCCUCGCGAGGCAGUUCAUCUUCUUCAUCGUUCGAGUGAUCUGCCGCAGCCGCGCGGUAGGCGCGCUCGAGUGUACAGACGACAUCCUUCUCGGCGUAGGGGAUGGUGAUGACGUAGUCACUCCCUGGCAUCUUGAGGACAUUGUAGGCAUGGUGGAUCACCGCCAUGAACUUGGCGAGUGCCGGGUAUCCGAGGAUUGCGUUGUAUGGUAGGUGGAUGUGCGCAACGUCGAAGACGAUGAUCUCAGUAUGGUAGUUCUUACUCUCACUAAAGGUGACGGGCAGAUGCACUUGCCCAAUGGGCAUGGUGGACCCUCUCUUACUCCUGAGAAGGGCUUGGUCGGCAUGAGCUGUUUGUACGACAACUAGAGUUUCUCGAGGGUCUUGACUGAGAGGACGUUGAGCCCGGCUCCACUGUCAAUGUGGGUCUAGGUGACGAGGACGUUGCUGAUGGUUGGGGUGCACAUCAUUUGGAGUUUGCCGGCCAUGAAUGAGCACCUGAACUGGUCGCUUGGGUCGAAGGUGAUGGUGGUCUGGGACAAGUUGAGGGGAUGCAUUGCUUCUGGCCUCUUGAGGGCGACAUUUACCUCCCGGGCAAACUGCUUGAAGGCACGGUUGGAGGCUGGAGUCCGGGCACCUCGCAGGAUGGAGGCCACCACCCUUGCCUCCUGGAAGCCCCCAGCCCCAUCAUCCUACUUGUCUUCAUCCCUCCUCCUGGGUGGCUGAGGCAACGGGGGUAGCCCGGCCUCCCGAGGGCGAGCCUCACGAGGUUGACCAUGUUGUUGCCCCUCCUGAGGGUUAUCAUGCCAGCGGUCCUCCUGAGGCGGUUCACGCCACCCCUAACGUGGCUCACGGUCAACCCAGCGGCCCGUGUUGCGGCAUCCUCCGCGUGUGGGGCUUCUGUCGAACCGUCUGGGGCGCAUGUUGAAGUGCUCGGCGGGGACCAGACGGAGUUCUUGACAUUUAGAGAUAUCAUGGCCACUGGUGCCAUGGAAGAUGCACAUCGGCCCCCCUCCGGAAGGGCGCUCACCCCCUCGGACAUGCUCCGCCUCGAGCUCGGCGGCCAGUACCAUCGGGGCCUUGCGCUUCACCUCCUUGGCUUUGGCUUUCUUCUCUUCUGGGUCCGCUCCCUGGGGCCCGAGGAGCGACAUGCGUCGUUCUUCAGCCUUGGCGCAUUUGCUUGCCAAGUUGAACAUCUCCAGUGCGGUGCUCAUUUCAUCAUUCAUGACGAGCUCCUCCUUCAUCUUGAGGUCGGUGACUCUGUCGGAGAAAACCGAGAUGACGGCUUCGUCCGACGCCUUGGGGAUCUUGAGGCGCAUGAUUGUGAAGCGAUGUAUGAACUUGUGCAUGGGCUCUCCCUCCUGCUGCUUGACGUGCCGCAAAUCAUUCACGAUGGGGGCGCGGUCGUGGGUGCCCUGGAAGUUGGCGAUGAAGCGCUCGCGCAGGCCAUCCCAGGAGGUGAUGGACGCCCUUAGGAUGUUGAGGAGCCAAGAGAGUGCGCUACCCUUGAGCGCCAUGGGGAACCAACACGACAUGAUUUUUUCGCCUCCUCCCGCCGCCCUAAUGCUCAGUGUGUAGAGUUGGAGGAACUCAGUCGAGUCUUGGGUGUCGUCGUAACGCGGGGGCAGGUCGGGCUUGAACUUGUAGGGCCGCGCAGCGGGUAGAGCUCGGGGGCGAUAACGAGGCACCCCACCAGUCCAACGGGUACGGUACGCGCGGGGGCCGACGUGUCUUGUUGCUCCAAGGGGUGUGCUUCGAGCGGGGCGUAAUCACGAUGCAGAAUUUGCAGCACCAGGAGCGCACAUACAUCGGCGCGGGCACUGGGGAUCAUCUCGCAGCUUGCUUCAUCUCCGGGCCCCACCCUGGGUUCACGGGGUCGGGCGCGGGCUCGCGCUUCCUGCUUGGGCUCGGGGUCCGGGACACGCUGCGGGGGUGGGGGCGGCGCAUCUUGUUCCUCGUUGUUCACCAGGUACGGCUAUGGUCAGAGCAAGGAGGAGAGCGCCGCUGAGUCGUCGACGGCAGCGAUGAGCUCCUCGAUGUGCUGGAGCCAGUCGUCGUGGCGGUGAGGAGCAAGCCGGUAACGGAGCAACCGUGUGGCCAUGACAAGCGCGCGCCGGACGCGAGGCAUCUCUGGCCGGGCAUGCUAUGCCGAUCACGAAGGCCUAGCAAGUGAUGGAGUGGAGGUGCGACAGUCGACUGGCUUGGUCACCGGCUGGGAGGAGCCUUGUUGCUCUUGAACUUCGGGCCGGUGGCAGCGCUCACCACGGGUGACGGCGACCGAUGCAUGCCGAUGGCACCAACGGGCACGGUCUGGGCGAUGCGGGUGGCGCGACGCUCUACGCGAACCCAGCGAGUGUCAGCCAUCGGAGCCGUGGAGCUUGGUGAAGAUGGAGCUUGGAGGAAACCUCGACACACCCCUACCUGGCAUGCCAGAUGUCGGAUUUCGGUCUCCGCAAAACCCUAAGGAUUCAAACAUUGGGGCAUGUGCGAAGGUCUCUCCCUGCUUAGCUUCGCCUAGCCCACUACUCGAAAGAAAAGACGUAGGACUCACUCGAUGGCGAGGGUAGCACAGAACACAACAGUUUACCCAGGUUCUGGCCGCUGCGAAGCGUAAAACCCUACUCCUGCUUUUGGUGGAUUGCCUCUCAAGGAGGUGGUGGAUGAGCUAGUACAGUGCUAUCGAGCCUCUAGAGGCCAAGAAGCUAGGUGUAUUGGUAUACGGAAAGACCGCACUUCCUCUACCAAGUGUUCUACCCUCUCUAUUUAUAGCGGAGGCCUGGGUCGUCUUCCCUCAUAGCUUCGGCGGGAAGGGAUCCCGCAGUGGCCAAUUUUGAAGGCGAACAUGGGAACAUGCUCCCCUGCCCAAAGGCGGUCUUCGCGUGCAAAGUAACUGUCCGCACUGCAGGGUUGGGCCCGAGGGUGAAGUUUUCCCUACUUGCGGGCGGCGGCGGCUUCAUUGCACCAGAAGGGAAACCUUUGGAAGAUGCUUUUGGAACCCAUGUACGCUCCUGCCUCCGUUGCACUAAAGGGGAAACUGCUCUGUCCUGCCAACUGUUGCUCGCUCGUCCUUUAUUGGCGUCACCCUUGACUCCUGAGGCCCGGCCUUGCCUCGGAAUAUCCACCUCUCUGGAGGGGUCCUGAGGAGGCCCCCUACGGGUCUCGACGCUCCUCCUCCUCGUGAGGCUUGGCCCCUCAUGAGGGCCUUACCCUGAACGGUGCCAGGCCCGUUGGUUUGUUCUGAUGAGGUGGGCCCGCCCUGGGCCACAGGUAGGCAGGUCUGAGUACCCCCAUUCCUAGAACGCCGACAACGGGCGCUGUCUUAGCAACGCGGGUCAGAAAGCAAACAUUUGAGCGGCAAGAGUUCAUUGCCGAGGAAACCAAGAACCUGGGAGCAGGAGGCCUGGCGAGAGGCAUCCUCCACCCAACAUGAUUGUAAAACCCUGUGGUAGUGAGUACGGGGAAUGGGAAGUGGAGACUUCCCAUCUACUUAACUCAUGUCAACAAGGCUUGCCCAAAGGACCCCUUCCCGUUGCCAUGCAUCGAUCAGAUAGUGGACGUGACCGCUCGCUGCGACCGUGUGUCCUUCCUUGACUCCUACUCCAUGUGGUACGUACUGUUUCAAGCGCAUGCCAUUUUGACUAAAGAGCGCAGGAUCAACCUUCAUGAGUGUUGUCCAAAUCGGUCUUGGCCCACAGCUGCACAGAAAUGUAGAAGCCUACAUGUACGACAUUAUGGUUAAGACCAAGGAUGAAGCCAUGCUAGUUGAAGACCCUAUAGAAACCUUUGCUAAUCUGCGCAAGAUCAACUUGAAGCUCGACUCCGAGAAAUGCAUGUUUGGAGUGCCAUCUGGCAAGCCCCUCGGUUUCUUUGUGUCACAACACGGGAUAGAAGCAAACCCCGCCAAGAUUGGAGAUAUUGAACAGUUGGAAGCUCCAAAGCAUGCAAAGGACACGUGCCAACUUGCGGGCUCCAUCGUUGCCCUCAGCACAUUCAUAUCCAAGUCUGCGGAACUCGCCCUGCCAUUUUUCAAGAUCUUGAAAAACGCAGGUCCUUUGAAAUGGACUCUUGAGGUGAAGGUUGCGCUGCAAGACUUGAAGAAGUACCUUUCAUGUCCACCAACAGUAGUUGCACCCAAACCAGAGCAACCGUUGUUGUAUAUCUGGCGGCAACGAACCAAGUGGUUAGUGUUGUGCUAGUGGUGAAGAGGGAAGGUGAGAAAGAUAAGGCAAUAACCCUUGAGUUUGUGAACGGCAAGACAGGGCCACCCCUGGAAAGCCAAGAAGUUGUAGGUAAGGAUGUAAUGCCCAAGAUGUGAUCCAAUCCUUAUUUUGGCACAAGGGCCUCGACAGGGAUAGAAGUGCAUCUCGUUGUUUCGCAAGAAUGGAUAUCGUUACAUGUACAUUUAUAGAAGAGAAAAGUAUAUGAAAAUGGCUUACACUCGCCACAAGGUACAACAUAGACAACACAAUAUAACAAUAUAUUCAAUCACCAUGUAGAAGAGUAGGGUCCGAAUAUGGACGAAAAGAAACGAUAAAAGAACGACGUCCAUCCUUGCUAUCCCACACUGUCGUCCUGGAACCCAUCCUAGAUCGAUGAAGAAGAAGAAGAAGAGGAAACUCCAAAUAUCACAAUCAUCACGCUCACGUCAAAGUAUUGCUUUACUUGUACCUACAACUGUUUUUGUAGUAAUCUAUGAGCCACAAGGACUCAUCAAUCUCAAUUCCAAAGGUAUCAAGACUAGCAAAGUUUAAUGGGUGAGAUAUGGUUAAGUGGUGAGGAUGCAACAAACAACUAAGCUUUUUUUGAGUGGCUAACUUACGAGUACGAGAUUAAAACGUGGGGAUCAUAAAUGCAUAUCGGACGAGAACUAAUAGUGAUCACGAACUGAUAUUGAACACCUACUUACGUCAAACAUAGCCCCAUUGUGUCCUCUUCCGAAUAAAGAACUCCGAGAAGAGACAGUCAUGGCUACGCACACAAUUGGCAAUUUAAUUGACUUUACUUCAAGUUAUCUAGAACCGGGUGUUAAAUAAAGUUUCCAAGUUGCCACAUAAUCGUGGGCACGGCUUUCCGAAAGAUUUAAUCCUUCAGGUGUGCUCCAACUAGUCCAUCACAAACUACUACACGCUGCAUCAAAAACCUCGUCAGCGGAAAACCCAUGAUCUCCUCAGAUUCCUGGUGGAAAACCUUAACCUCGAGAUAGCCCAAAGUAUCCACGCAAACCUCGCACAAGACGUUCGAGAAAGGUAAAACAAAUCCAGCAAGGCCGCACGACAUGUCGAAGAUCCCAAUAGGAGCCGCAUAUGUUCUUCUUCGGACACGACGGAUAAGCGAUGCGUACGGGUGCGUGAUAGAAAUCACCCAAGUUUCCCUAGGUUGGCCCCGCAUAGUGCUCUAGUUUGGACCAACACUCAUGACGAGCACUAGCCCAGGGGUUGAUUAAUUAUCCACGAGUUAAUUACUGGCUAUGCGGUUCAUUAGUUAUUAGGCAAAUAUGGUACCAAUGUUGGGCCUUGCCAGCCAAGUUUUAUCCCAAAACUAAAAUCAAGGGGGUCCCCAUAACAACCCCAAGCAUGUUAGGAGCGCUCAUUUAUGGAACAUAACACCGGUAGCCGAAACUAAGGCAGCAAAGGUGGAACAAAACACCAGGCUAGAAGGCCAAGCCUUCAACCUUUUACCAAAUAUAUAGGUGCAUUAAAUUAAUUAGCAAUAAUAUGAUGAUAUAACAAGGAACCCAUGUUUUCACAUGGAAGCAACUGCACCUGGAACUAGCAAUGCUAUAAGAAGGCUGAGUGAGCUGUAACAUAGCCAAACAAGGGUUUGCUUGGCUGUGGCAGGGUUAGAGGAUUUUCAUGGCAAUGUUGGGAGGCUGCAUUUAUGUGGGGGCAGCAAGACAUAGCGAAAGAAACGAGACAACUAGCAUGGCAAUGAUAGUAAUGGUAACUAGAGAAAUGAUCAUCUUUCCUGUGAUCCCGCUAGGAAGAAGAACGAAUCCGCGAAGCAAACGAACCAACAGAGUCGAACGAAUCCUUAAGUUCCGACACGCUUGCGGAACUCUAUCGAAAAGAAGCAAUCUGAAAACAAGAAUCAACACACGAUAUUCACCACAACGUAUGGAUGCCAUGAUGAACAAACACAUAUGAUGCAUGUCUAGUUUAAUUAUGCAAGGCAUGGCACCUCACAACAAUCGAAUACUACACAUUAAGUGAAGCUCAAUAUGCAACGAGUUGCAUAUUAACAAAACUUCAUGUUCAUAUAUUUAGUUCACUCUAUUUUAGGUACUCAUCAAUAUUAAAUGUUGUCUAAACAUUACAAGAGGUGAAGCACAAAUAAUCUACACUAUCUAGGCAUUUUAAGUGAGGUCGGAAACAACAUAUAGCAUCUCCAAAAUGACUCCAUGUGCUAAUUUAAAAAUCUGCCCAGAUCUAUACUACAGAUUUUAUAUUUGUUAAACAACAAAGUAAAGUGGGCCAUGUGAUUCUACUUGUCAUUCCAGUCGAUUUACAUAUAUCGAUCAUCUAAAACGGAGCUACAAUUUAAAAGAUAUGAGCAACACAAGAUAAUAUGGCAUGCAUGCAAAACGUAUGCAAAUGACAGCCACAAUAUAUUAAAACUUGGAUGCACAAGAUAUUAUGAAACUACCUAAAAUUCUAAGCAAGUUUAAAUGAGGCCGGAACAACAAAUAACAAUUCCGGAAAGUCCCCAGAUUUCGAAUUUGCUACAGAUCUGCCUAAGCACAAUUUUAGAGUUGUUAAACAGGAAAAUAAAUCCUACCAUGUUAUUCUGCACAUUUUUCUACCGAAGUUAUAUAUGUGGAUCAUUUUAAUCUGAGCUACAGUUGAUUAAUUAUGAGACAAACCGUUCUAACACGGCAUCAGCCCAAAUUAAAUUAAAACAAGAAUUUAUACAUUUUGAACACAUGUGAGAGUUUGAUAUUGUGAAACUACACAAAAUUGUAAGCACUUUUCAUGUAUGAAGUUUUAAAUCCGAUGCACGGUUAAUUUGCUAUGAAUUAAAUCGUUUUAAAUAUGGCAUCACGCAAAAAAUGCAAACAUCACUUUUAAACAGUUUUAACAUGCGUGAAAGUGGAAUAUUAUGAAUCCACACAAAAUUCUGGACAUCUCACAUAUAUAAUUUAUUUUCAUCCGAUGCAUGAUUAAAUAAUUAUUAUUAUUUUUUGGACAUAUGCACUUUUCUGAAAUUAUAAAAUGUCAUGAGAAAUAGCUAAAUUCAUGGGAGCAGGAAAACAAAUGUAUACAUGCUGAAUUUGACUGAACUAGGCCAACACAGAGCUAGGCACAAUAUAACAAAUGUCACACUAGGCGACAUACACGCAAGGGGGGGGGAGCUCACCAAGUGGUCUUAGCCUAGGUUGAGGCACAGGACCGACUGGGCCGGCUGGGGCGACUGCUGGGCCUGGCGCGUGGAGAGGCAGCCCAGCCGACGCGGAGAAUUCCACACACGGGGGCCGGGGUCAUGGACGUUGACCUCGCCUCCUCGAUCUCGAGCAGCCUAUGCGCAGCGGCGGUGGGACUCGCCCAGAUCUCGGUCGGGGCUCUAACGAGUGGAGGUGGCCGGAGGAGGCUCAUCCGGGGGCGUUGCCUCAGAUCUCCACGUAUCCUCGCGGCAACGGCAACGUAAGGCGAGCCUCGCGGGCUGGGAUGGCAUGAGCAACUGGCGGGGGGCUUAGGUCGCAGCUGAGCUGCGUGUGAGGCGCAGCGAGCGGUAGUGGGGUGCAGGGCCCGAAGCGGCGGAUUUUUGUCGGCGGGCUAUUGGAGGGGAGCGUGAGGGGAGGCUGCUUGGCGAGCUCACGACGCGGCAGCGAUGAGACUGGUAGUGGGGAGGCACAGCACGUGGGUGCGGUGCACCGCGACGGCCAAACCGGGCCUCGGAAGGCUGCGCCUCGGCCUCGGCGAGCCGGGGCUAGCUGAGGUGGGGAGCGGCUAGUUGGCUGAUUCGGAUUGCCGUGGCCAUCCGAUCUAGCCACGGGCGGCCCUGAUCGUGCGUUGGCGAGCUGGUGGUUGUGGUUAGCUCAGGUGGCGGCUACGUAGUGGAGGGACAACAUGUGGCGGUGGGGCAGACGUAGGGGAAGGUCUAGGACUAGGAUUUGGUCCAAACAUGAUAGGUUGGUUGUCUAUUUAUAAACAGGGCUAGGAGAGGGUUUUUUGGGCGUUUGGAGCCUCCAAUCGCGAUCGGACGACUCUGGUUGCGUCGCAGGUGUCGGAAUUUAGGCUCUGCAAAACCUCUAAGAUUUAAACUCAGGGGCGCACACGAAGGCCACUCGACGGAUUCAGUUUACCAAGCUCGUUACUCGUUGGGCAAGACUAAGGACUUGCACGAUGGUGAAGGGAGCACAGAACACAACAGUUCACCCAAGUUCAGGCCGCUGCGAGGAGUAAAACCCUACUCAUGCUUUUGGUGGAUUGCCUCUCACGGAUGUUGGUGGAUGAACUAGUAUAGUGCUCUUGAGCCUCAGGAGGCCAAGUGGCUAGGCGUAUUACUCUGGGAUUUCAUGAUCCGAUCCCCUUGCCAAGUAUCCUACCCUCUCUAUUUAUAGUGGAGGCCCGGAUCCUCUUCCCUUUUCGUAGGCGGGAAGGGAUCCUAUAAUGGCCUAUAAUGGCCAGUUUCGGUGGGAGACAAGGGAACAUGCUUCCCCUUUCAAAAGUGGUCUUCGCCUGCAAAGUAACUAUCCGCGCCAUCAGAGACGGCCCCGAGGAUGACGUUUGCCCUAGUGGCGGGCGGCGGCGGCGGCUUCGUUGCACCAGAAGGGAAACAUUUGGAACCCCUCUAUGCUCCUGUCUCCUUUGCACCAAAGGGGAAACGGCCCCGCUCUGCCAUCUGUUGCUCGCCUGUCCUUUCCUAGUGUCACCUUUGACUCCUGAGGCUAGGCCUUGCCUCGGAAUGUCCGCCGCUUCGGUGGGGAACUCAGGAAGCGUCCUGUGGGUCUUGAUGUCGUUCCUCCUCGUGAGGCAUGGCCCCUCACGAGGGCCUUGUCGAGCCUGCCGAUGCUUGAUCGAUGGAGUGGGCCAGCCCUGGGCCGCAGACAGGCUAGUCUGGGUACCCCCGUUCCCAGAACGCCAACAAGAGGGUUGGGUAGGCUUAGGUGGUCUGGUUGGGCUGUGUGGGGAAGAUUGUGGGCUGAGAUGAGAGGGAGUUAGUGCAGCCCGUGACAAGACUUUUAAACACUGAAAUGUGUGAUGAAAUAAUCGAUGACGUUCUCGCUACGGUCGAUCGUUCGGGUAUCAAACGAACUCCGAUUGCGAUGAAAUUUGUCCGGCGGCCUACCUACACUAAAACAAGACUGCAUGCCAAGUUUCAACCCAAUCCGAGAAAGUUUUAUACACAAUUUUAAAAAUAAUAUUUCAACGAUGUCGGGGGCCGUGUGUGUGCGGUUUGUAUCGAAAUGGACAACGAUAACAACGCAGAGAACCGGCAACUAACACGGAUGCAAGUUUUGAAAACUGACGGGAACAGAAUGUCGAUGCAAUGCGAUUGAUGUGCAUGAUGCGAUGAUGAAUGUGACAACCAAAUAAAUCACACGACGACAAUGGAAUAGAAGGGGAAUCUUCUAGAGCAUCGGUUCUGGGCUUUUACAACUCUCCAACACUAACAAGAGAUCUUGAACCGACAUCUAAGAAUGAAAAGGGGAAGAGAAAGAGGAAAGGAAGAGGAUAAAACAAAUGAACUGGGCUACAUGAAGAUAAAGAGAGCAUGAUUAGAUUAGAGAAUGCUUGAAGAGGCCAUCGGUAAGAAUUGCAAAUGAAUGGGAAUACCAUGAAUGAAUCAAGAUACAUGAGAAUGAAGAGAUCAUGAUCGACCUGAAGAAUUUAGAACAUAUGGAGAUAUAAGAAAUGAAUGGAAUGCAUGAGAACGAAUAGAUCUUGAGCCGCCUAACAGAUAACUUGACUGAGGCACCGAAACAAUUGAGAUAUGAAUGAAGAGACAAUAAUUGAGAACAAUUUGAGAAUGAAAGCUGAAAGCUGAGAACGAAGAAAUCUUCUAAAAUUAUGGCCUUCAGAGGAUCGAGAAAUGAAAACACUCUGAAAAAGCACUCGAUAGAUAUGGAAGGAAUUUCUCAUGAUCGAAAACAAUUGAGAAGAUAGCACGAAGCUGAAACCAUGAAUCUUCAAGAGAUUGGACCUGAUUUAAGAGGAACCACUUCUUCGAUCUUUCAAGCUGAGAAUGAAGAGAUGGAACACCACCAAAAUUACUGAGACACUCCGGAAUAAUGAAUAAGCAAAGGUUGAGCCAAUGAUGAGAAAUAAAUGUGAAACGAUCUUGGGGAUAGAAUACGAGUGAUGGAAAUCAUUCUUACAUCAUAACUGAAAAGAAUUAGAAAUCUUCAGAAAAGAUUAGAAGAGACAAGUAAGAUCCUUGGAAAACAUGUGGGUUAUGGGCCCACUCAAAGAGAACACCGUUGAAUUAAUUGCUUAGAAGGAGAUAUUGCACCUGUAUAAUUGAAAACUUGAUGAGUUGAGAACCUUGAAAUAAUUGAAUGAUUUGAAUGAAAACAUAGAAAUUCUGAGAUAUCUUGAGCACUCUGGAUAGAACGAGAGGAAUCUGUCGGAUUUCGGGCUUCGCAAAACCCUAGGAUUCCCACACAGGGGCGUGUGCGGCGAUCACUCUCGGCUCGACCUUACCUAGCCCGCUAAUCGAUGGAAACGGCGAAGAACUCACAUGAUGGUGAGGAGAAAACAGAACACAACAAUUUACCCAGGUUCGGGCCGCUGCGAAGCGUAAAACCCUACUCCUGCUUUUGGUGGAUUGCCUCUCAUGGAGGUUGGUGGAUGAACUAGUACAGUGCUCUCGAGCCUCCGGAGGCCAAGUGUCUAGGCGUGUUGCUCUAGGGUUUCCAUCAUCCGAUCCCUUGCCAAGUAUCCUACCCUCUCUCUUUAUAGUGGAGGCCCGGGUCCUCUUUCCUUAUUGUAGGCGGGAAGGGAUCCCACAACGGCCAGUUUCGGUGGGAGACAAGGGAACAUGCUUCCCCUGUAAAAAGUGGUCUUAGCCUGCAAAGCAGGUGCGAGCGCCGCGGAGGUGGGCGCACGGAUGAUGCUCUUCCUGCCGGUGGGUGGUCGUGGUAUUGUUGCACCGGAAGGGAAACCUUUGGAAGAUGCCUUUGGGACCCUGAUACGUUCCUUCCUCUUUUGCACCAAAGGAAAACUGUCCCAUUCUUCCAUCUGCUGCUCACUUGUCCUUCCAUGGCGUCAUCCUUGACUCCUGAGGCCCGGUCUUGCCUUGAAAUAUUCGCCGCUCCGGAGGGGUCCUGAGGAGGCCCCCAGCGGGUCUUGAUGUCGCUCUUCCUCGCAAGGCUUGACCCCUCGCGAGGGCCUUGUUCAGGGUGGCGUUGCUCCUUUCUGAUCUUGCGUUGAUGAAGUGGGCUAGCCCUGGGCCGUAGGCAGGCAGGUCUGGGUACCCCCGUUCCCAGAACGCUGACAGUAGCCCCCGGGCCCAAGGCGCGAUUGGGUUGGCUUCUCAGCGAAGCCUUGAAGACAGCCCGAAACAUCGUGUGCCCCAUUUACCUGCGGGUCAAGCGACCCACGUGUCUCGAAGCUGCGUAGAGAUGCUCUCGCUCCUCGAGGAGCUGGGAUGCUGCCAGGCCACGACGAUGUGAUUCCCAAGAGUCGCGCAGGACAUCAUGUUGCUCAUUGAACGACCACACCCAACAGCCCUCGCGGAUGUGACCGAUCGGUGGACCGGUGAGGCGACAUGGGCGGCAGCGCAUCCGUCGGCCCACCUCGCGGCCCUCGUGGGGUGUGCGACGCCCAAGAUCCUGCGAUGGUUGGUGGCCAGGGCUCGCCUAUAAAUUCUCCCAGCCCCCUUCGGGGGGGAGGCACCGCAUCCUCGAGCUUCGUCUCUGCUGCAGUCGCCCCCCGCGAUAAAACCUCUUCUCCCCCUCGCCCUUCGUCUUCAAGGCGUCCAUCGAAGUCGGCUCUGGCCGGGGAAAGCGUGCGGCGCCUCCUGCGCCUUCGUCCUCCCCGGGGGCAGCCGCGGAGGGCCCUCAGGGCCCUCACGCGUCCGCCACCGCUGGGUUAUGGCCGCUGAGUAAGCCCUUCAUUGCGUCUCUUUGCUUUCCGCUUCAUCUGUUGUCCCGUGGUUGAUCUUCCUUCUUCUCCAGCACGCCCUCCUCCAAGAAGCCAAAACUCGGCGAGCUUCAAGAGGAGGUGGAGGACCUUCGGGCGUGGCUUGAGAGCGCCCACGCCGCCCUCAAUGUCGCUCGCCAAGGCGAAGCGGAGGCCAAGGACGAGCUAGCAUCGCUGCAGCAGCAGGUCCGGGAGGCGGCGGAUGUCAUGCAGGUCGCUCAGGACGAGGCGUCAUACGCCCGGCUGAUGGCGUCCAAGCGUGCCCUGCAGUUCGCGGGCAUCGCCGACCGGGUGACCGCCCUGACGAGCCGGUUUGCGGGGAGGACCCCGGCGCUGCCUAACGUGAGGAUCGACGGGGGCUACCUCGUCUUCUUACAGGAGGUCAUGGAGGCGCUGGAGGCUGGCGUCCAUCGCGUGGAGGAGGACAGCGCGUCCAGCACGCGCAAGCUUCUGGGCCUUUCCCUGACUCUUGUCUUCUCCAACUUGCGCCGCAUUGCUUUGGAGGUCGACCUCCAGCUUGUCAUCGAGCCGGCGCCUGUUGAGUCCCGUCAUCUUCUUCGGGACGAGGUCCGCCCGCAUGUGGACGCUCUGGUGGGGCGGUACGUCCAGGCGCCCGCCUCGAGUGAUGAGGGUCGUCCAGAUGCCGGGCCAACUGGCUCCAUCGGUGACGUCAGCAGCCCCUCCCCUUAGUGCCCCAAGCUUCUGUUUGCCUGCUCCUAUAAUCAUUGGACCAAGAAAUCUGCCCUGCCGGGCAUUAAGAUUUUUGCCGUUAUUACCUUUGUUGCUCCCCUAUUUUAUUUUGCUCCUGAGGUGAUGGAUUGCAUGUGGGUGGUCACUGUAGCCGGGCUGUAAAGCUUAGGGCCCAUUGCUACACAUGUUGUUGUUUGGGACGACGACGGAUGCGCGACCUUCUAGAAGUUCUGCCCUCCUGAAGCAUCUCUCAUGCCGCCGCGUGCUUGGAUGUUGGACUCGCUUCCUGUUGUCGUCGAAUCCUUAGGCCUUGCAUCCCUUCGUUAGUGCGCAUGUUUCUAAUUCACCGUUAGUUUGUCGUAAAGCGAGAGGGCAUGUGAGGGACUUAGCUCGUGGGUUUGUGUCGGUCCCUUGCGUAGUUCCUCCGGUGCAGCUCCUGUUUCGUAAGCGGGACAAGGUGAAGACCCUUUCUGCACUCUAUGUCUGCAGGUCCCGGUCCCGCACAUUUCCCUACCGCCGUGAGGUUCAACCCAUUACCAAGGCUGCUCCUCACGGGGGAAAGCCCCGGCACCCUGGGAGGCGAGUGGCUUUGCGACCAGUAAGGCUCCUGAGGCGCACUGCUCAGGAGCCCCCUUUGACACUCAAGUCGCUCUGCGUCAUCAGGCCCCGGCGUUGACGGCCGGUAAGGCUCGUGAGGCGCGUCCAGGAACCCCCCCCCCUUUAUGGAGCCCGAGCGAUUCUGCACUUCGUUCCUUAGGUCAUUGCCCAGGGGGCCGUGAGGCCCCCCGAGUCUCUUUGUGGUGGUAUCAAGUUUCGGUCGAGACCCCGAGCGGGGGUUGACCACUGAAAAAUGUUGCCCGUGAGGUGUCAAGUCCUUGAAUUCAUGCUCCUUGACUCCUAGGCGUGGCGCGGAGCGGUUGUCUCCAAACAUGUCUUCCGGACGGGAGGUUUCAAAGCCAGUGAAAUAAGAAACGCCACAGAAAGUUUUCCCCCUUUAAUUUUCAAAAUGUCGUGCAUUGAGACUCGAAAAAACCAAUUGUCGAAAUUGGCUAGUUCAAACUCAGCAAAAGAUAGUUUAAAUCCAAGAAAAAGCAAGCAAGUGCCGCGUCCGACAUUAAAGCUGGCAUAGUCAUUGGCGGACUAUAUGGGUUUCCUUGCCAGCUUCGAGCAUGGUCAUUGGCGGGCCAUGCUGAUUGCCUUCGUCUUUUACCCAGCGCGGAGCUCGGGUCUUCCACUAGGCGUGGGGUGGACCCGUUUCGUGUCCUCGGGGGGCCCUUGGCGUAUACAACCUCGGCUCGUUAUUAUGUGAGAGUGUCACGGUGGGGGUGUAUAUGGGAGGUCGCGAGGACGCUUUGGCCUCGCGAGUGUCCCUACCCCAGAGGCAUUGGGGCAUGAGCUUCUAGAGUCAUUGAUAGACUAUGUUGUACCUAGCGCGGAGCAUAGGUCUUCCACUAGGCGUGGGGUGGACCCCUUCCGCGUCCUCGGGAGGCCCUGGGCGUAUACAGCCUCUGCUCGUUAUUACGUGAGAGUGUCACGUGAUGAAGUAGGUUCCGGGAGGAUCGAAGGACGAUGCAGAGGUGCGAUGGGUUGAUGCAGGUCUUGUGUGUUCCCUCCCAGGAGGCCAAUUGAGGGCUUUUUAUGACUCUAUGUUGACAAGCCCGAGUCCCGCACAUUUCCCGAUCGUCGUUGCAUGGGAUCGAGUGAACAGUCGUAGCUACGGGGUCGGGCCCUGCCUCCCCUAACAUCGACCAGAUCAAGGACGUUGUUAAGGGCGGCAGGUGGCCUUGUGGCCGGUAAGGUCCCUGAGGCUUGAUGCUCAGGAACCCCCCCCCCCUCUAACGUUCGAGCGGCUCUACGUCACCAGGAUCCAGUCCCACACAUUUUCCGACCGCCGUUGCGUGGGAUCGAGUGAAUGGAUGUAGCCAUGGGGUCGGCCCUUCCCCCCAACAACGAUCGGAUCACUAAGGACGCUGUCGGGGGCGGUAGGUGGCCUUGUGACCGGUAAGGCUCCUGAGGCGCCAUGCUCCGGAGCCCCCUUUUGACGUUCAAGCGGCUCUACGUCACCAGGAGCCGGUCCCGCACAUUUCCCGACCUCCGCUGCUUGCGACCGAAUGAACGAUCUCAGCUACGGGGUUAGGCCACGCCACCCCUGAUAACGACCGGAUAACCGAGGACGAUAUCAAGGGCGGCAGGUGGCUUUGUGACGGGUAAGACCCCUGGAGUGCCAUGCUCUGGUUCCCCUUUGACGCUCAAGCGACUCUGAUUUUAUCAUGUCGAUUGUGGUCCUAAGGAACCAUGGCGCUCCCCCAUCCCCACGUUGGGGCGAUGCGUAGCAGCCGGGGCCCCCGAGCAAGGAAGGUGGAUCGCCGAAGGAUGCAAUUAGGGCAGUGUGUCGGGUUGCUAAGUGGAUGUAACGGAAAUUGUAAAGGAUACGACUUGCACAAGCAUGCCUCGAGUAGUUGGAGUUCCUGCGGUCAGCAGACACUCCUUAAGGCAGUAAAUCCAAACAAUUACCUCACCGAAUAGUUGAAGCCCCCUUGCACCUGAGGAACGCCUCACGAGGCAAGGCCCCUGACGCGCACGCCUGCAUCGUGGUCGUCGCGGGUGAUCCGUGCCACUUGUGUCUCAUCGCGGCAUUGGGCUCGUCCUCCUAAGGCCCGUGGAUUUGGCCUUACGUAGUCCUUCUGCGGGGAGGGCGGCUAGCGCCGCGCCCCGCUUCUUGAGGGCGCCCCCUUACCCGCGCCGCUCAGGCCCGGCUCUGGGAGGAGCCCCCGAACGUCCCUCACUCCUGAGGAGGAUAAGCUCCAGGGGGGACGCCCGAAGCUCCUCCUCGUCGGGAGGAUCAGGUAGUGUCGCAUACUCUGGCACGUACGACUCCAUGUAGUCGCUCGACCGUCCCCCGUGGCUAUUCAGCAGCCCGAUGGUGGCGGUCCCUCUCGGCAGCGGAGGGGGGGUCCCCACGUCCGUGCUGCUCGAAGAUCUUCCUGCGAUAGGCCUCCUGCGAAGUAGCUUGUUCCUGUUGCUGCCGGUGUCUGGUCCCGGCGCCGCCCGGUGCUGGUGAAAGUGCAGUCAUGCCCUUAAUCAUGUUUUGGUGUUGCUGACAACACACAUAUAGAUAAUUAAUCACUAACCCUUCUUAAGCUAUUGUGAAUGAUCAUGUGUUGAUAAGGACAAGCUCAUGUGCUAACAAGGACAAGAUCAAGAUAAGCAUUCCUGAGCACUACAUGCUUGAUCCUUGUGGAUGCUCACAUGGUGGACAAAUGAAGAUAAAUAUAUAAGCUAGGCUUUCCACAUUGUGUAUGGGAGAGCUACUUGAAGACUUCAUCAUGUCUUGCUUUCAACAUUGAGCCAAGAAGAAACAACAACAUCAAGCUCAAGUGAAAGGGCUAACUCAAGGUAUCAGUUACUUUGAUGUUAGCGGUGCGGAGUGAUGAUCAGCGAAUAAAAGUACACACUCAAGUAUGGAUCAUCGGUAUCCCUUUUACAAUUCUUGAGUCUUUAGGGAUCCCGCACUAUUAAGAGGGGAUCACAGGUUUUUGUGAUGAACUUGCUCAAACUAGAUAUUCACUAUCCUACUCAAUACCACAUAUUCUCUACUAUGUUUCUAUCUCAAAACAGGUCUAUUGCCUCGGACUUCUGGCUCCCUCCGGACGUCCGAGGGUCGGAUGACCGGCAAGCUUCGGAAAUCCGGAGCCCUCCACCACAAGUAUUUGAGUCAUACAACUCGGAUUUCCGGCUCCCUCCGGACGUCCGACCAGCUUCAAAAAUCCGGACCCCUGCACCAGAAGAACAUGAGAUCUAUAACUCGGAUUUCCGGCUUCCUCCGGACGUCCGAGGGCUGGACGUCCGUCCCCUUCCGGAAAUCCGGAACCUCCCACCAGAAGAAGUUGAGUCGAAUAACUCGAAUUUCCGGUCUUCUCCGAACGUCCGGUCACUGUUCAAUUCACAGUGUUUCCAGUCAUAUCUACAGGCCUCGGACGACCGACCCCUGUCGGACGUCCGACCCCUUGCGGACGCCCGGACUUCCGGAAACUGUCGGACGUCCGGACCCUGUGUGACUUAAAGUGUCCCCAACGGCUGUUUUACACUCCCCACUAUAUAUACCCCUCUCCCACUUCGUGAGAGGGUGCCCAACACAGCCAUAUCCUCAUAAGAACACAUUUCCACCUCACACACAUUUGCUCACACCAAAUCUCAGAUCCCAAGAGCAUUUGUGAGCCCCUUUGAGAGUUGUUCCAAUCAAAAGAUAGAUCGUCUCCCUCUCCUCUCUCAACCCAAGCUAUUUGAGAUUUGAGCAAGUUUUGAGCAUUCCCGUGAUUUUGUUACUCUUGGAGGUUGGAGACUCCUAUGCGGUAGGAGUUCUUCGAAGAGGAAUCAAUCCGUGUGAUUACCCCCGGAAAAGUUUGUGAGGGUUUGGAAGCCACCUCAAAGGCUUACCACUAGUGGUUGAGAAACGCCUUCGUGGUGUUAUCUCAAAGGGAGAAUAGCAUGAGCCUUCGUGGCGUUGGUGUGCCUUCGUGGUAACAUCCACCUCUCUAACGGUGACUAGCUUCCCUCCAAGGAAGUGAACAUCAGGAUACAUCUUCGUCUCAGUGACCUUGGUUAUCCUUAACCCUAACUCCUUACUUGUGGUUUACUUGUGUUACUUGAGCAUACAUACAUUGCAUAUUUUUUGUGCUCAUUAUAUUGUGUUGGCUAUUUCUUGUACAAGAUUAAUCAUUCAAGCAUACCUUCUAUAUCCACACGUUCAUACUUGCAGCUCUUGAUAUAUCGUGUGAUAUAGCUCAAGUAAGUUUGUGUAGCUUACUUGUGCUUGUUAGUAACUUUAUUGUGCCCAUCUUGGUAGAUCGUGUUGUUGAUACACGUUGCAGUGCCUAGUGCAUUUAGGAUUUGUGCUUGACAAGUACCCUCUUAGUUUAUUUCCGCAUUAGUUCCAAGCCAAAUCCGAAGAAGUUUUUAAAUAGCCUAUUCACCCCCCCCUCUAGGCGUCAUCGAGGUCUUUUCAGUUGGCUCCCUCCUUGGUGUCCUGCCAUGUCUUCGCUGUCGUAGUUUGUCCACGCCAUCGCCUCUGCCCUCUGCUGGUUGUGCCGGAUGGAGCGCUCCCGUCAGGCCGCCCCAGGCUGUCGAUGGCCGACUUGGUCUUGGUGAUGCACGCUAGCGUGUGCGUCGGUCAUCCCGUCGUUCUCCUCGCGUCCCUAGUGGCUUCGGCAUGAUGCACUUUGGGCCCGGUCGCUGGGGUCUGGAGAAGGUGGAAGGCAGCGCAAAGCGUGUCUCUCUCGGCCCUGCCCAGGGCGGGUAGGGCCCCGAAGCUCGCAGGUCCAGGGACCGGCACGCGGUGCAAACCCCGGCGCCCGGUGCAUGUGGCCUUGAGGAUGCACCGGGCUGGAUGGUCUUUUGGGCGAUGGUGAUCAACUCCAUGUUCUGGUCCGCCCAGGCAUCGGUCGUUGGCGGAGCAUCUCUCUUGCCAUCUGCAACGCGUCGUGUGCGCUGAGGUCUCCCAAGUUGAUGUGGCACACUGCGGGUGCCUGGGCCGCCGCCCAGUCCCCAUGAGCGUGGGUGGCACGAGUGGCCAUCACGGUAGAGAUGAUGUUGACGGCCUAGUACGAGCCGUCUGGUCCCGUGAAACCGGCAUGCGAGCUUCUAACCGCUGUGACGUGGCGGUCAUAGACCAGCUCGACGAGGCUCGGAGAAGCUGGUUGGUCACCGACCAUUGGUGCAGCGACCUGGGAAGGAGGAAGCUAGGAGAAAGCCUUCACACGCCCUCUACCUGGCGCGCCAAAUUUCGGAUUUCGGGCUUCGCAAAACCCUAGGAUUCGAACAAAGGGGUGUGUGUGGCGAUCUCUCUCGGCUCGACCUUACCUGGCCCGCUAAUCGAUGGAAACGGCGAAGAACUCACACGAUGGUGAGGGGAACACAGAACGCAAUAGUUUACCCAGGUUCGAGUCGUUGCGAAGUGUAAAACCCUACUCCUGCUUUUGGUAGAUUGCCUCUCACGGAGGUUGGUGGAUGAACUAUUACAGUGCUCUCGCGCCUUCGGAGGCCAAGUGCCUAGGCAUGUUGCUUUGGGGUUUCCAUCAUCUUAUCCCUUGCCAAGUAUCCUACCCUCUCUCUUUAUAGUGGAGGCCCGGGUCCUCUUCCCUUAUCGUAGGCGGGAAGGGAUCCCAGACGGCCAGUUUUGGUGGGAGACAAGGGAACAUGCUUCCCCUGUCAAAAGUGGUCUUCGCCUGCAAAGCAGCUGCCAGCGCCGCUGAGGUGGGCGCAGGGAUGAUGCUCGUCCUACCGGCGGGCGGCCGUGGUCUUGUUGCCCCAGAAGGGAAACCUUUGGAAGAUGCGUUUGGGACCCUGAUACAUUCCUUCCUCUUUUGCACCAAAGGGGAAACUGCCCCGUCCUGCCAUCGGUUGCUCGCUUGUCCUUCCAUGCCGUCAUCCUUGACUCAUGAAGCCCGACCUUGCCUUGAUAAAUCCGCCGCUCAGGAGGGGUAGGUCCUAAGGAGGCCUCCUGCGGGUCUUGAUGUCGCUCUUCCUCGCGAGGCUUGGCCCCUCGCGAGGGCCUUGUUUAGGGUGGCGCUGUUCCUUGCCGAUCUUGCACUGAUGAAGUGGGCCAGCCCUGGGCCGCAUGCAGACAGGUUUGGGUACCCCCGUUCCCAGAAGGCCGACAUAAUCAAUAAAUAAGAGAGGCUUGAAUAAGAAUUCUAACAUGGAAAAGCAUUGAACGACUGAAUGGAUAUGAUGAACACCGAGAGAUUGAAUUGAAUCCACCGGAAAAGAAAACAAGAAUGAAGAAUGAUGACUUGAAACUCCUAAGAAUCUUCACAAUGAAUCAUCGGAUAUGAUACAGAAGAAAAGAAAGUGGAAGCAUAACUGAAAAUAAAGGUACUUGCAUGAUAAGUAAAUCACUCAAGAAAAAGGGCAGGAGUGUGGGCAAAAACAAAAACAACUUGGGAGAGAUGAGACAAACUCCGGAAAGAAAUGAGAGGACUAUUAUUACAAAUAUUGAAAAGAUUGAAUUAUCUUGAUGAGAAGCACUCCGGUUGGAAAAAAUAUUGACAUGACAACUCCGGUUUGAAAAGAAUUGAUAAGACCACUUGAUUGAGUAAAAGAAUUAGCACUCCCAUAGGAAUAAGACAACACCACUUAAAAAAUAUAUGAACUCAUCACUUGACAUCGAAGCAACUCAAAUUACCAUAUUCAAACGAAACAAAAGGAUGAGGCUUACUAAACAAGCCGGAAACAAAUUCAUGACACAGAUUUAGCUCGAUAUUUUCAUAGUAAGGUUAGCACGGGCUCAAUCAUACAUUGGAUUGUUAUAUUGAAAUUAUGCUCGAAUAUGCUCCCUAGGCAUAGCGAACUACAAGGCAUGACGGAGCAUAUGUGAUGAAAUAUAUCGAGACUCUCCUUUGUAAGGAAGAUUGUGAACAAACGAAUCCAGUAGAUGUAGAACCCCAAUCUCAUAUCAUGCACCUGUUGGACGAUAAUCCUAGGUAACUACAUGAAUUCCCACCUAAGAACUCCUAAAAUUUUCUGGUUAUGCAAUCAGGUCCAUGGAUACAAGGAGUAAAAUCCAUCAAUCAACUCCUAGCAAUAACACUACCCGUCUAGUGUAUCACAUCCAUCAACACAUAACCAGAGAUCUCGGAAACUCAUCUACCUCAGACCCUCAUAAUCAGAACAAUACCAAGUAUGGCAGUACAUCCGGACGCUCUCCACCAGUACCGGGGAUGCCAGAGUCCUCUCACACUACUAGUAUUAAAGCAAUUUCGAACAUCAUCUGUCAUGAGAUAGUAAGGAAACUGAACAAUAGUGAGUGUGACAGGAAUCCCUUAGAGCACAACUAUUCGAUAACAGGAGGCAACAAGAACAAAAUCCCGGUCACAACGACAUCGUAGAGGUUCCAAAAUACCCAUGAUCCUAUUUUUUUAUUGAGUGAGAAUAGGAGUAGAAUUAAAAUUCCUAGGUCGUAAACCUCAUGAGAUCAGGGAAGAGGAGUGAAAAGAAUCCUACUCUCCGAUAUAUAACUAAACUCAAAGUAGUUUUUCACUAGACUCGACUCGACCAAGUUUGAUCAAUCAAGGGAGCUCCCAGGUCGGUACAACUAUGAUGCCAAUUUGUAACGCCCAAGAUGCCAUCAUAUCCUUAUUUUGGCAUGAGGGCCUCGACAGGUAUAGAACCGCAUCUCGUCAUUUUGCAAGAAUGGAUAUUAUUACAUGUACAUGUAUAGCAGAUAUAAGUAUAUGGAAUUGGCUUACACUCACCAUAAGGUAUAUCAUGAACAACACAAUACAACAAUAUAUUCAAUGACCAUGUAGAAGGGUAGGGUCCGACUAUGGACGAAAACAAACAAUAAAAGAACAACGUCCAUCCUUGCUAUCCGAGGCUGUCAGCCUAGAACCCAUCCUAAAUCGAUGAAGAAGAAGAAGAGGAAACUCCAAAUAACACAAUCAUCGCGCUCACGUCAAAUUAUUGCUUUACCUGUACCUGCCAGAGGGACUCGGCAAUCUCAUUUUCAAAGUAUCAAGACUAGCAAAGAUUAAUGGGUGAGAUAUGGUUAAGUGGUCUGCAACAAGCAACUAAGCUUUUUUGGGUGGCUAACUUAGAAGUACAAGAAUAAAAGGGGGAUAAUCUACGUGUAUCAGAGGGGAACUAAUAAUGAUCACGAAGUGAUCCAGAACACCUACUUACGUCAAACAUAACCCCACUGUGUCCUCUUCCAGAUGCAGAACUCUGAGAAGAGACAGUCACAGUUACACACACAGUUGGCAUAUUUUAAGUAAAUUUACUUCAAGUUAUCUAGAACCGGAUGUUAAACAAAGUUUCCAAGUUGCCACAUAACCGUGGGCACGGAUUUCCGAAAGAUUUAAUCCUGUCGGGGUGCUCCAACUAGUCCAUCAUAAACUACCACACGCUGCAUCGGAAAACCCGUGAUCUCCUCGGAUUCUUGGUGGAAAACCUCAACCUCAAGAUAGCCCAAAGUAUCCUCAAAAUACCUUGCACAAGAUGUUCGAGAAAGUUAAAACAAAUCCAGCAAGGUCGCCCGACGUGUCGACGAUCCCGAUAGGAGCCACGUAUCUCGUUCUCAGGACACGACAGAUAAGCGACGCGUACGUGUGCCUAAUACGAAUCACCCAAGUUGCCUUGGGUUGGACCCGCACAAUGCUCUAGUUUGGACCAACACUCAUUAGGAACACUUGCCCGAGGGUUGUUUAAUUAUCCACGGGUUAACUACUCCCUAGGCGGUUCAUUAGUUAUUAAGCAAAUGUAGUACAAAUGUUGGGGCUUGCCAGAAGAGUUUUAUCUCAAAAAUAAAAUCAAGGGGGUCCCCAUAACAACCCCAAGCAUGUUAGAAGCACUCAAUUAUGGAACAAAACACUCAUAGCCAAAACUAAGGCGGUAAAGAUGGAACAAAACACCAGGCUAGAAGGCCAAGCCUUGCACCUUCUAUCCAAUAUAUAGGUGCACUAAAUUAAUUAGCAACAAUGUGAUGAUAUAAUAAGGAACCCAUGUUUUCACAUGGAAUAAACUGCACUUACAACUAGCAACGACGUAAGAAGGCUGAGCAAGCGGUAACAUAGCUAAACUAGGGACUGCUAGGUUUUGCAGGGUUAGAGGCUUUUCAUAACAAUGUUGGCAGGCUGACAUUUAAGUGAUAGACAGCAAGACAUAGUAAAAGAAACGAGAUAACUAGCAUGACAAUGGUAGUAAUGGUAUCUAGGGAAAUGACCAUCUUGCGUGUGAUCCUGCUUGGAAGAAGAACGAAUCUAUGAAGCAGAUGAACCAAUAUAGUCGAACGAAUCCUCACAUUCCAACACACACGAUAUUCACCACAACAUAUGUAUGACAUGAUGCACAAAUACUUAUGAUGCAUGUCCAGUUUAAUUAUGCAAGGCAUUGCACCUCACAACAAUCGAAUACUACACAUUAAGUGAAGCUUAAUAUGCAACAAGUUGCAUAUUGUCGAAACUCCACGUUCAUAUAUUUAGUUCACUCCCGUUUAGAUACUCAUCAAUAUUAAAUGUUGUUUAAACAUGACAAGAGGUGAAGUAUAAAUAAUCUACACUAUCUAGGCAUUUCAAGUGAGGUCGGAAACAACAUAUAGCAUCUCCGAAAUGACCCCAUGUGUCAAUUUCAAACUCUGUCUAGAUUUGUACUAAUCACAUUUUAUAUUUAUUAAACAACAAAAUAAAGUGAGUCAUGUGAUUCUACAUGUUAUUCUUGUCGAUUUACAUAUAUGAAUCAUCUAAAACGAAGUUACGGUUUAAAGGAUAUGUGCAAGAACAAGAUGAUAUAGCAUGAACGCAUAAUGUAUGCAAAUGACAGUCACAAUAUGUUAAAACAUGGAUGCACAAGAUAUUAUGAAAGUACUUAAAAUUCUAAGCAAGUUUAAAUGAGGCCGGAACAACAAAUAUCAAUUCUAGAAAGUCCCCAUAUGUGAUUUCGAAUUUUCUACAUAUCUUCCUAAACAAAAUUUUAGAGUUGUUAAAUAGGAAAAAUAAAUGCUACCAUGUUAAUCUUCACAUUUUUCUAGCCAAGUUUCAUAUGUGGAUCAUUUUAAUCAGAGCUACGAUUGAUUAAUUAUGAGAUAAACCACUCUAACAUGGCAUUGGUGCAAAUUAAAUUAAAACAAGUUAAACAUUUUAAACACAUGUGAGAGUCGGAUAUUGUGCAACUACACAAAAUUUUAAGCAUUUUUCAUGUAUGAAGUUUUUUAAUCCGAUGCAUGGUUAAUUUUCUACGAAUUAAAUCAUUUUAAUAUGGCAUCACACAAAACAAUGCAAAAUAUUUUUAACAUGCGUGAAGGCGGAAUAUUAUCAAUCUACACAAAAUUCUGGAAAUUUCACAUAUAUAACUUAUUUUCAUCCAAUGCACGGUUAAAUAGUCAUUAACAAUUUAGAAAUAUGCACUUUUCUGAAAAUACAAAAUGUCGUGACAAAUAGCUAAAUUCGUCUGAGCAGAAAAAAAGUAUACAUGGCCAAAUUUUACUGAACUAGGCCAACACAGAACUAGGCGCAAUAUAAAAAAUGUCGCCUUCGGCGACAUAUAGGCAACGGGGAGGGGGCAGCUCACCAAGUGGGCUUGGCCAAGGUCGAGGCACAGGACCGGCUGGGCCGGCUGGGGCGGCUGCUCGGUGUGGCGCUUCGAGAGGCGACCGAGCCGAUCCGGAGCAGCCCACACACGCAUGUCGGGGUUGUGGACGUUGACCUCGCCUGCUCGAUCCCGAGCAGGCCAUACACAGCGGCCGCGGGACUCGGUGAGUUCUCGGGCGGGGCUCUAACGAGUGGAGGUGGCCGGAGGAGGCCGAUCCGGGGGUGUCGGCCUCGGAUCUCGCCGGAUCCGGGCGGCAGAGGCGAGGGAAGGCGAGGCUGGCGGUCUGUGACAGCAUGAGUAGCCGGCGGGGGGAUUAGGUCGCGGCUAAGCUACGUGUGAGGUGCGGCGAGCAGUGGUGGAGCGCAGGGCUCGACCCGACAGAGUUAUGCCGGCGGGUUGCCUCUGCAUAACGUGCAGGGGAGCGUGAGGGGAGGCUGCUUGCCGAGAUCGCGACACGGCGACGAUGAGCCUGGUGGCGGGGAGGCAGGGCACGCAGGCGCAACGUGCUGCAGCGGCUGAACCAUGCCUGGGUGGGCUACGCCUGGGCCUCGGCAGGCCGCGGUUGGGAGUAGCUGGUCGGCUGGUUCAGAGUGCCCUGUUCGUCGAUCUGGCCACGGGCGGUGCAGAUCAUGGCUCGGUGGAGCUGGUGGUUGUGGUUGGUUCAGGUGGCGGCUGCGUGGUGGAAGGGUGACAUGAUGCGGCGGGGCAGAGGUAGGGGAAGGGCUAG
rnacentral:lncRNA from 1 species